rnacentral:lncRNA from 1 species
GGAGAUCUAGAAGCAGAUUUGUCAAUAGUAAAGCUGUCUCUGAAUUGCAGCAGGGCGGACUUCUCCUCAUCAGGGCAAGAUGGAUACUGCUUCUGCGAAGAGUAGGAAGAGUAGGAAGAGUUAGCAAUAACCACAUGAUGAAACAGCAACAAAACUAGUACUGGUUUUGAAAUGCGAAUGGUGGAGAUAUCAAGAAACCCCAUGACGACAAUAUUUUGAUUUUUUUUUUUUUUCGUUUUGCACUCUUAGCUAUGUAUGGAGUGGAAAGUGACACAACUAUUUAUAGACUGGCAUCAGCAUAAAAUUCUUCCGCAAAUUAAUCUCUAAAAAGUGAUGGAGAUGGGUGUAAUGGGGACAAGUGCAUCGUAUCUUCUACAUGUGUAAAAGAUGCUCUUGACCAAUUUAUUCGUGAGUUAAUUUUUGAAGUCAAGUCUUCCAACUUUUGAGAUGGUGUGAAAUUAGAAGUUAGACAAAUGAGCAGCACCAUAAAAGAAAAAAAAAAUAUUUGCAUACACACAUAUAGUUUAUCGCAUGAGUUCCUCCUGUAAGGGUUUAUGGUAUUUGUAUUGACACUCUUGUAAGGUUUUAUCAUAUUUGUAUGCCCAAUUGCAAGACUUAUCAACUUUGUAUUUGGGUACUUCUAAAUGUGUUGGACCUUCAUGCUUGAAAUCUUCAUUAAAAUAUGUGUAAUUUGUAUUGGAAUACAAAAUUAAACAAAAAAAAAAUGUUAACAGGUGACUCAUGAGCUUAAUAGGUUGAGUUUGAGUGACUCAUUAGCUUAACGAGUCGAGUGUGGGUCACUCGUUAGCUUAAAUGUUCAGGUGAAACCCGACUCAAACCCAAUAAACCUAACUUGUUUAUAGGUUACCAGCAGAUAGUAAGGGGGAUGAAAGUUUCGAACUCUCAACAACAAAUUAAGACAUUAGAGUCAUUAAAUUCAAUUCCUGCAUUGGCUUGAAGUGGGAUGGAUUUGAAGCCAGAACUUUUCAUUCGAUAUCCAAUUUCUUCAUCAUUAGGACUUUCAAACUCCUAGCAUAUAUUAAGUCAAGAGUGCAGGUGUAACGAAAUUUUUCAUGUUGGAUUUGGUCUAUGUUGCAUUUUUCAAACCGCAAGCCCUUUUUUCAUCAGAAAAGAAAUAUCUCAUUAACUCAAGAGAAAGCAAGGAAGAGAGAUACUUCCACUUGGAGUUGAAGCCCCAAGCCCCAACCAUAGGAAAACUGCAGAAAAACGUAUUUGGCUCAAUUCUAAUUUUCAUUCAUUCUCAAAUGUACAAUAUAUAUUAAAUACAAAUAUAUAGAUUAUUUACAAAUGCACGCCAUUUGCUCUUGCGUGGUGCUAUCCACCCACCCAUUUUACCUGUCACACACCACUCCCAAUUUUCGGACGUCGGGUCAUGUGAAUGGUAGAAGAUCAAUGUACAAAAAUUAACAAGUGUGUGUAUGAAGUAAAAUGGGGUGUGUGAAUAGCAUUAGGAGAAAUUAGAUUCACAUCCUUCAUUUUCCUACUCCAUUGAUUAAAACCUUAUUCCUUUUCAAUUUUUGAUCAACGUCGUUGGAUAUUAAUAAUAUCAUUUAUUAUUUCAAUAAUAAUUUUUUUUAAAUAUAUUCCUUUAGUGUUAAAAAUGUUACAAUUAGUAUAUUUAUAUUUAUGGCUAAAUUUUUUAUCAUAUAUUUUUAUUUUUAGUUUGUAACCAUUUUUAAUUUGCAAACCUUUUUUAAUUUGUACCAAUUUUCUUUUCAGUUUUAAUUUGUACCCAUAUAUUAAUUUCUUUUUGUGCCCAUAUUUUUUAAAGUUUUAUUUGUAUUUGUGUCCAUGUAUUUACCGUCACGUGACAUUGUAUAAUUAAUCAAUAAUAGAAAAAUUACAUAUGAUAUAUUUAUGUUUUAUGGCUAAACUUUGUAUCAUAUAUUUAUAUUUUUAGUUUGUACCCACUUUUAAUUUGCAACCUUUUUUUUAAAUUUAUUGUAUUUUCUUUUUAGUUUUAAUUUGUACCCAUGUAUUUUUUUUUUGCACCCAUAUUUCUAAAAAUUUCAUUUGUACACAUAAUUUUUUUUAAUUUUUUAUCUGUACCCUAGAGGUCGCACUUGGUGCGAUGGCAAGUGCCUUCGCCCAUGAGCGGUAGGUCUCGGGUUCGAGACUUGGGAGCAGCCUCUCCAUAAAUGGGGACCCUGCGUAAAGCAGGAGCUUUGUGCACUGGGUACGACAUUUUUUUUUUAUCUGUUGUCACAGCCCGUCCCGGGAUUUUAUUCAUCGAGGACGUGAAAAGACGGAUUUACCCUUAGCGGGUAUUAAGGUAUGUGUGUGUAUGAUAUAUUAUUUGGACUAAAUAUACAUUCCUAAACUUUUGGAGGAAAUAAUUUAAGUUGGAUUAAAUUGGAUUGUAUUUUGUGUGGUUAGGGAUUAAAAUUAGUAUGUAUGGUUUUGGUUGGACCACACACCCAUUCAACCCUUCUCUCUCUCUUCCCCGUGCUUCUCUCUCUCUUCCUCUCCGUUCAGUCUCUCUCCCUCACUCUCGAACGUACGGACAAGCUAGGAACCUCCCAUUUCUUCACGGAUCGAAGGUUCUAAGGUAAGAUUUGAACACCUAGUAAGCUUGUGAGUUAGUAUAUGUGAUUUUUGGAACUUAAAACCCUCAGAAUCAUCGUGAAACCAUAACCCCGAAAAUGUGCACUGUUCAUGCACACGUAAAAUCUUGCAUUUCAGGCAAUUUCAAGCUCACAUUGAGCUUAAGGAGAUCCUCACGAGCUUCGGGGUACUUCGUUGGUAGAAUUUGGACGUCGGAGGAUCAAGAUCGGAGUUUUUCAAAAUUGGCCGGAUUAUCGUGCUUCCUCAGGUAAAAUCUAGUGGAUUUUGGACCUUGAAACUAGUCUAUUGUGAUUCUACAUGUUGAGGGCUUCAAAUUGAUAUAUUAUACGAAGAAAAUGGUUGAGAAACGAAGGAGAACGAAGCAUUUGAAAAUUCUCCGGUUUCGGCCACCGGAAAAACCAGUCCGGCGAGCUCGCGAGGAAGAAGGUGCGCAUGGGCGCGCGUGGACCCGUGCCUUCCCUGGCGCGUGGGGGCGCGUGCCACAUCAAAAAAUUAUUUUAAAAAUUUGUCGACGUCCGUGACGUCGAGUAGGUCAAUGUGGUAUAUUCAUAUACCCAAAUUGAGCACCGUAUGAGAAGUUAUUAAGAAUUGUUGGUUAGGUGCUUUAAAUAACGUUUUAUAGUUUUUGCAUUUAGGUGAAAAUAUGAAUUGACGAUCCGACCGUUGGAUCGUCACCAACUUUGAUGCGUUGUAAUACGUAAUAUUUGAGGAUUAUAGGAAUUUACGGAUUGAGAAUCCGUUUGCGGAUCUUCCGGAAUUGGAGUUGUAAGUCUAUAAUAUAGAAUGUUAACCGUCACUUGGUUUUGUUAAUUGACGGAGAUCUGACCGUUGGAUGGUAAGGAAAUUUUAGGAUGUUGUCCUAGAGAUAUAUUGUGGACCUCUAGAAGUUAUGGAUUUAAAAUCUGAGUGGCAGAUCUUCCGGAUCGAACUGCGUAGUGACGUAUUUUAUAUAAGUUAUAUAUUCUAUCGAUAUGAAUUCUGAGGUUGGAUUUGAUUAUUGUUUUAGGCGCCGAUUGUCAUGACGCCUUGGCGUAUUGUGCUAGGGAGUUGUAGGGCGAACUCCAGGUGAGUGGGCAGUUUUGAUUUCGUAUUACCUAUAUACAACUGUUUUUCCUAGAAAAUUCGUUUUUAUGAAAACUAUGAAUUAAAUUGCCAUGCAUGCAAUUGUUGAGAUAUCUAGUUUGAUAAUUGAUACUUAUAUAUGUGAAUUGACGCGUUGGACGCACAUGUGAGUUUUAUUAUUAUUCAGAUGAGUUAUUUUAUAUGUAUUGCAUUGAAAGCUCAUAACCUGCACCUAGGUGUUAGUGCUUAUAUUGUUAUUCACCACACCGCACGCUCGUCUUGGAUCCAAGUAGGUGGAUGUCGUACAGACCAUGUGAGGGUUCCGACAUGCUAGUCGUACAGAUCACUAGAUGUGAUUCCGACUAGUGGGUGACCUUAGUUAUGCGCGCUGAUGAUUGAUGAGAGAAGCACUAGAGCGUAAUUGUACACCUGUCAUCGUACAGACUACUAUAGGUAGUUCCGAGUGACGUGCAGAGUUAGGCCGUACAGGUCACUGUGGUGACUCCGGCUGAGUGGGAUGUUGAGCUUAGAAUCAGCCGUACAGGACCAUUGUAGGGUCUCCGGUUGAUUUAUUAUUUCACCUGAUUGAUAUUGAUGCAUUCUGAUUAUAAUUUGGGCAUGGCAUAUCAUUUCUGAGAUGUUAUGAUGAUGGAUAUAUGCUGAGUUAUGAUGUUGCGUAUAUAUAUAUAUAUAUAUAUAUGUUUAUAUACUAUUUUCUGGGAAAAUAUAUAUAUAUGUUUAUAUACUAUUUUCUGGGAAAGUAUACAGGUUUUACGGAGAGGGGUUAGAAAUGUUUUAAAUGAAAUGUUUUCAAAAAACUUUGUUUUACUGACCCACUCAAUUUUGUUUUGCGCCCCUCCAGGUUCUAGAUAGCAGAGCUUUGGUGGCCACGAGGAAUCCAACGGUGUUUUGACAGAAUUCACAAAAGUAGGACUCACCCUCGGGUGUUUCAUCUUAGUAAUUGUAUUUUUUUUAAGCUUCCGAACUGUGUAAAUGGUUACGUCACUCUCACGUGACGGCCAUCAUGCCCUCCUUCGGGAUGGGGUGUGUCAGUUGGUAUCAGAGCCUAGGUUGCAAUUCUGGACAUCUUGAGAAAUUCCUAGUGUCUUCUGUCAGAACGAUACCGCCUCGUAGCGAGCCACGUAGUUCGGAUGAACCUAAUUUCCCUGAUAUAGUAGUUUGGGGGGAAAUUAUUGCCAUUAUGAUUCAGUCUAUUAUCUAAAGGAACCUUUGAGACUGGUUAUAAGUUGAAUUUGAAUCCCUUUAGGGAUAUGAAGGACCUAAGGGAGCAGAUUGAUGGCUUAAUCAUUUGGGAAAAGGCGUUUCGGAUUAUGCAAAGUCAAGGGAAUAUUCCUCUCGACAGGUGGGUCGAGAUGACUACCUAGUUUUUUAGUGUUGAAUCUGCAUUCUGAUGGAGAUAGGAAUGUUAUCCGAUGAUAUCGGAAGGACAGCUGUUUGGAAGUUGUUUAAAGAAUUGUUUAGAAAAAGUUCAUUCCUCCGGCAUAUUGUGAUGGUAGUAAGCAAGAAUUUGCAAAUGUGAGACAAGGAAAAUGACGACGGAUGAAUAUUAUAGAAAGUUUACAGACUUGCCUUGUUUCCAUUCGGAUGUUGUUGUUAAUCCGGUCGUGGUGUUAUGUCGUGUUUGGCUGGAUAAUAAGAAGAAGUGGCGUUCUUUGGCGACCACUAUCCAAUGUACUAUUUACCAAGAAUUUACGAGAUGUUGUUGAGAAUUGAGGACUCUGAGAGCAUGAUCAGCGAGAGUAAAGAAGAAUAAGAAAAGAAUGGUAAUUAGAGGAAAUACGAUAAAGUUAAAGAUCCGUCAUAUCAAGGACAUCGAAAGACUCAGAGCUUCAAAAGAAGUGAAGUUAGAACUAAUUCUUCCAGCUUAGGUUUUAAUGCCACUGGUCAGAGGCGAAGUGAUAGAUUUACUGGUGAUCCCAGAUCUUAAAGACAAGGUGACUCGAGUAAGGGAAAUGUACCUUUGUGCCAUAGGUACAAUAUUAGACACUUUGGAGAGUGUGGGAAUCAGUGAAUGUGUUCAUGUGGACAGAUGGGACAUAGAGUUAUGAAUGGUCCCUAUAAUCAGUUGUUACCCAGCAGUCUUCCCUGACACCACAAUAUCGAUCCAGCAGGUUUAUGGACUUAAUAGUUUGGUCAGAUGGGUCAUGGGUACAGGGAUAUUUGAUGAGUUAUAAGUCCAGCCGUACAGGCCACAAGAGGUGGAUCCGAUAGACAUAUUAUUUGGAAAAUUGAUGAGUAAGUCGUAUAGGUCACUAUAGUUGACUCCGACUUAUGUGCUAGCAUGGAUAGUUAAGCUAGAGAAUCAGUCGUACAGGUCAUUCUAGCUGACUCCGGCUGAUAUAUUUCUUAUUAUGGACGAUGUUGCCAAAGAGAGUAAUGUUGGAGCACGAUCGAGGCGUAUUUAUGUAUUUCUAAGGAAGAACAAGAUGAUAAUAUUACACCUUUAGGAAUUGUUACUUACUUAUCGAGACAACAGUGAGUUAUUUGUAUUGCGGGCUGCAGACCAUAAUAUUUAUAACUUAUUUGUUGGAUUCGUUAAGCAAGUAAACAGGUAGGGCACUCUAUGUUGAUUUGGUUUAUUCAGGAUGCCUAAUGAUGGUGGAAGAUAUAGUUAUGCCAGUGAAUCUUAUUUCGUUGGACAUCGUGGAUUUGGAUGUGAAUUUAGGCACAUAUUAGUUGCGUUAUAAUCAUAACAAGAUAGAUUGCUACGGGAAACCCGUUACCUUCCACCAAUUUGGAUGACUAGAGGUUACUUUUGUGGGUAUGCAAAAUGGAUUGAGUUAGGCCGUUAUUUAUGCUGUGAGAGCAAAUAGAUUGUUAUCGAAAGGCUGCCAAGGAUACUUAGCUCAUAUGGUGAUAAAUGAUGUUGCUUCUAGUAGUUUGGGAGAUGUAAAGAUGGUUAGACAUUUUCUUGAUGUUUUCCCUGAGGAAUUACCUGGAUUGCCGUUAGGCGGAAUUAUGGAGUUCACUACUGAUUUGUCUCCAGGCACAAAAUUUAUGUUAAAGAUUGGUUCAUGAUGAGUUAAGGGAAUUGAAAAUUCGGUUACAGGAAUUGGUUGAUAAAGGUAUCAUUUAAAGUACAUCACGUGGGGGAGCACCAGUUUAUUGGUGAGGAAGAAAAUGGACAUUAAGCCUAUGUUUUAAUUAUAGGCAAUUGAAUCGGGUAAUGAUCAAGAACCGUUAUCCAUUGUUACGUAUUGAUGAUUUGUUGAUCAACUUAGAGGUCUGCGUAUUUCCUAAGAUUGACUUAAGGUCUGGUUGUUAUUGAUUGAAGAGUUAAUGAUAACGUUCCUAAGAUUGUGUUCAGGACUCGUUACGGUCAUUAUGAGUUUUAGUGAUGUUAUUCGGAUUGAUGGAUUCUCUUGCUGUUUUAUGAGUUUGAUGGAUGAAGUAUUCCAAGAAUGCAUUGACAAGUUUGUUAUUGUUUUCAUUGACGAUAUUCUGGUAUACUCUAAGCCUAGAGCAGAGCAUGUUAGAUAUUUUAAGUUGAUGUUACAAAGUUUGAGGGAACGUCGAUUGUAUGCUAAGUUUAGCAAAUGCCAAUGUUGGAUGAAUGAAGAAGCAUUUAUGAGAUAAGUUAUAUUUGCUAAAGGUAUUCAAGUGAAUUUUUAAAAGGUAGCGGAAAUUGAGAAUUUGGAACAACCACGAAUUGUGAUUGAGAUUCGAAGUUUUCUUAGUUUGGUAGGCUAUCGUGGACGGUUCGUGAAAGAUUUCCCAGUCAUUGCUUUGCCACUGACGAGAUUGACGAGAACAGAGGUUAAGUUUGAGUGGAUAAUAAUUGUGAGCAAGGGUUUCAAUAGUUGAAGUAUUUCCUCACUCAUACAAGUAUUUUAGCACUCCCAGAAGAUAGCGGUAAUUAUGAGGUCUUUAGUGAUGCUUCUUUUGGAUAAGUGUUAAUGCUGCAAGGUAGGGAGAUUGCCUAUGCUUCACGGCAAUUGAAACUUCAUGAAAUGAAUUACUCUACUCACAAUUUGGAGUUAGUAGCUAUCAUCUUUACUUGGAAGUUUGGAGACAUUACUUUUAUAGUGAAAAGUGUAAGAUUUUUACGAAUCAAAUGAGUCUCCAAUGUCUGCUUACUCGGGGGUAUUCUAAUCUUAGGCAACGAAGGUGGGUUGAGUUACUAAAUAAUUAUGAUUGCACGACCAGGGUGAUCGUGAAAUUGUUGCGACUGAUGCACUUGGUAGGAAGGCUCCAGUAAGAAUUAAUGCUUUGUAUGCUUGUUGUGUUUUCCCUUCUUGCGGAUUUAGGACCCUGGAGUGAAACUUAAGGUAAAAGUUGAGAAGAAGCUUUAUUGACUAAUUUUCAGGUUAGACCAAUUUUAGUUGAUUGUAUACUUGAUGCCCAGAAAUUUGACGAAGGAAUUCAAGAAUUAACCGAGGCAGAAUUGGAUGGUAUGUUUAUGCAAGAGAAUGGGACGUAUGUGCCAAAUUAUGUGGAAUUAAGAAAGCAAUUUUGACGAUGUACACUGUUAAGCUUUUUGGGUAUGUUGGUUACUUCUAAGUUUUGGAUAGCGUACAGGAAGCUUGGUUACCAAGUUACCUUAUAGUACAACUUAUCGCCCUCAAAUAGAUGGUUAAUCAGAGAGCACUAUCCAGACUUUGGAGGAUAUGCUGAGAUCUUCAGUAUUGCAGUUGGCGACACUUAGAUUAAGCGGUUGGAUUUGAAGGGAAUUGCCUACAUCUAUAGCGUUCGUUCGAGCAUGGGUAUGAGACCAUUUGAGGCACUUUUUGGUAAAGAUUGUAGUACACCUUUGUGUUGGACAGAAGUUGUCAAAAGAGUUCUUGCGGGCCCUGAGGUUAUGGAUGAGUCUACUUGGAAUGUUCGAGUGAUUAAUUUUAACUUGGAAAGCGGCCCAAGAUCGCCAGAAAAGUUUAACAUACAGACAUGCCACUGAUCGAGUGUACAAGGUAAGUGAUUGAGUAUUUAUGAAGUUAUCACCGUGGCGAGGUGUUGUUCGAUUUGGAAAGAAAGGUAAGUUGAGUCCUAGGUACACCGGACCUUAUCGGAUCACCGAGCGAGUCGGUGAAGAUGUUUACAGGCUUGAAUUGCCGUCAGAGCUGUCCAGUGUACAUAAUGUGUUUCACGUUUCGGUGCUUCGACAUUAUGUUACAAAUACGUCGCAUGUGAUCCCUCUGCAACCCUUAGAGUUUAACCCAGAUUUGUGUUAUGUGUUACGACGAGAGGGAGCCGGUGACGAUACUUGAUUGGAAAGGCAAGGUUCUAAGGAAUAAGACAGUGAGCUUGGUAAAAGUAUUGUGGAGGAACCACUCCGUGGAAGAAGCUACUUGGGAGACCGAAGAUCGGAUGAGAGAGAUGUACCCGAGGUUAUUUUAUGAGUAUUAAGUGGAUUGGUAGGUUGUAUGAAUUUCGAGGACGAAAUUCUAUAAGGGGGAAAGAUUGUCAUAGCCCGUCCCGGGAUUUUAUUCAUCGAGGACGUGAAAAGACAGAUUUACCCUUAGCGGGUAUUAAGGUAUGUGUGUGUAUGAUAUAUUAUUUGGACUAAAUAUACAUUCCUAAACUUUUGGAGGAAAUAAUUUAAGUUGGAUUAAAUUGGAUUGUAUUUUGUGUGGUUAGGGAUUAAAAUUAGUAUGUAUGGUUUUGGUUGGACCACACACCCAGUCAACCCUUCUCUCUCUCUUCCCCGUUGUUCUCUUCUCUCUUCUUCUCCUCUCUGUUCAGUCUCUCUCCCUCACUCUCGAACGUACGGACAAGCUAGGAACCUCCCAUUUCUUCACGGAUCGAAGGUUCUAAGGUAAGAUUUGAACUCCUAGUAAGCUUGUGAGUUAGUAUAUGUGAUUUUUGGAACUUAAAACCCUCAGAAUCAUUGUGAAACCAUAACCCCGAAAAUGUGCACUGUUCAUGCACACGUAAAAUCUUGCAUUGCAUUUCAGGGAAUUUCAAGCUCACAGUGAUGAGAUCUUAAGGAGCUUCGAGAGCUUCACGGGUUCGGGUACUUCGUUGGUAGAAUUUUGGACGUUGGAGGAGACCGAGAUCGGAGUUUUUCAAAAUUGGCCGGAUUAUCGUGCUUCCUCAGGUAAAAUCUAGUGGAUUUUGGACCUUGAAACUAGUCUAUUGUGAUUCUACAUGUUGAGGGCUUCAAAUUGAUACAUUAUACGAAGAAAAUGGUUGAGAAACGAAGGAGAACGAAGUAUUUGAAAAUUCCCUAGUUUUCCGGCCACCGGAAAAACCAGUCCGGCUAGCUCGCGAGGAAGAAGGUGCGCGUGGGCGCGCAUGGACCCGUGCCUUCCCUGGCGCGUGGGGGCGCGUGCCACAUCAAAAAAUUAUUUUAAAAAUUUGUCGACGUCCGUGACGUCGAGUAGGUCAAUGUGGUAUAUUCAUAUACCCAAAUUGAGCACCGUAUGAGAAGUUAUUAAGAAUUGUUGGUUAGGUGCUUUAAAUAACGUUUUAUAGUUUUCGCAUUUAGGUGAAAAUGUGAAUUGACGAUCUGACCGUUGGAUCGUCACCAAACUUUGAUGCGUUGUAAUACGUAAUAUUUGAGGAUUAUAGGAAUUUACGGAUUGAGAAUCCGAUUUGCGGAUCUUCCGGAAUUGGAGUUGUAAGUCCAUAAUAUAGAAUGUUAACCGUCACUUGGUUUUGUUAAUUGACGGAGAUCCGACCAUUGGAUGGUAAGGAAAUUUUAGGAUGUUAUCCUAGAGAUAUAUUGUGGACCUCUAGAAGUUAUGGAUUUAAAAUCUGAGUGGCAGAUCUUCCGGAUCGAACUGCGUAGUGACGUAUUUUAUAUAAGUUAUAUAUUCUAUCGAUAUGAAUUCUGAGGUUGGAUUUGAUUAUUGUUUUAGGCGCCGAUCGUCAUGACGCCUUGGCGUAUUGUGCUAGGGAGUUGUAGGGCGAACUCCAGGUGAGUGGGCAGUUUUGAUUUCGUAUUACCUAUAUACAACUGUUUUUCCCAGAAAAUGCGUUUUUAUGAAAACUAUGAAUUAAAUUGCCAUGCAUGCAAUUGUUGAGAUAUCUAGUUUGAUAAUUGAUACUUAUAUAUGUGAAUUGACGCGUUGGACGCACAUGUGAGUUUUAUUAUUAUUCAGAUGAGUUAUUUUAUAUGUAUUGCAUUGAAAGCUCAUAACCUGCACCUAGGUGUUAGUGCUUAUAUUGUUAUUCACCACACCGCACGCUCGUCUUGGAUCCAAGUAGGUGGAUGUCGUACAGACCAUGUGAGGGUUCCGACAUGCUAGUCGUACAGAUCACUAGAUGUGAUUCCGACUAGUGGGUGACCUUAGUUAUGCACGCUGAUGAUUGAUGAGAGAAGCACUAGAGCGUAAUUAUACACCUGUCAUCGUACAGACUACUAUAGGUAGUUCCGAGUGACGUGCAGAGUUAGGCCGUACAGGUCACUGUGGUGACUCCGGCUGAGUGGGAUGUUGAGCUUAGAAUCAGCCGUACAAGAUCAUUGUAGGGUCUCCGGUUGAUUUAUUAUUUCACCUGAUUGAUAUUGAUGCAUUCUGAUUAUAAUUUGGGCAUGGCAUAUCAUUUUUGAGAUGUUAUGAUGAUGGAUAUAUGCUGAGUUAUGAUGUUGCGUAUAUAUAUAUAUGUUUAUAUACUAUUUUCUGGGAAAGUAUACAGGUUUUACGGAGAGGGGUUAGAAAUGUUUUAUAUGAAAUGUUUUCGAAAAACUUUGUUUUACUGACCCACUCAAUUUUGUUUUGCGCCUCUCCAGGUUCUAGAUAGCAGAGCUUUGGUGGCCACGAGGAAUCCAACGGUGUUUUGACAGAAUUCACAAAAGUAGGACUCACCCUCGGGUGUUUCAUCUUAGUAAUUGUAUUUUUUUUAAGCUUCCGAACUGUGUAAAUGGUUACGUCACUCUCACGUGACGGCCGGCCAGCAUGCCCUCCUUCGGGACGGGGUGUGUCAUCUGUACCCUAAUUUAUUUAUACUGUACCCAUUCUUCUUUAUUAAUGUACCACUUUGUUAUAUGUGAAAUGUACCAAUUUGUUUUGUAAAAUGUACCAAUUUUUUUAACACUAUGGAUACAUUAAUUCUUUUGCCAUUUAUUAUUUGUUAUUGUUACAUAGUUUUUAUCCAUUUAUUUAUCAAAAUGUUUGAACUUUUUCAUUGUAGCCAUUUCUAAUAAUAUUAUAAUGAGGGAUUUUAAAUUUAUAGGAUUAUAAAUCUUAUAAAAUAUCAAACAAUUAAUGUCAAAACUAUAAAAAUAUAAAUAUUAAUAGUAAUAUAAUGAGAUGUACAAAGUCAAUGGACUUUGAUCAAACUUUGAAUACCAUUAAGGUUUUAGUUAAAAAGUGUUAGAGAUUAGGGACCCCAUCCAAAGUAUCCCAUAGCAUUAUCCUUACUCUUUCAUACAAUUAGCGUAAUGUAAAAAAGUCAACGAACCCAUGUAGAAGAUUUAAUGAGUCGAAUUGUUCAAUGAACCAAACCCAUGUAGAAGAUUUAAUGAGUCGAAUUGUUCAACGAACCAAAUUAACUAACACUCCCCCUCAAGUUUUGUUGGAUAAAAGCUUAAGCGCUCAAAACGUACUUUUACCUGACGGAAUGAUUUCAUCUCAGAAGGUGUUUUCUUAUAGUGAUACCAAUUAACUCCAUGAUAAUAAUCUUUUUAAUUAUUUUAUUUUUUCACUCUUAGCUAUGUAUGGAGGUACAAAGUGACAUAACUAUUUGUAGACUGGCAUCAGUAUAAAAUGAUUCUGCAAUAUGAUUUCUAAAAAGUGAUAGAGACCGGUGUAAAGGGGACAAGUGCAUCGCAUUUCUUCUACAUGCAUAAGAAGAGAUACUCUUGACUAAUUGAUUCAUGAAUUAACUUUUGAAGUUGUCUUCAACUUUUAAAAUAGCGUGAAAUCAGAAGUCAAAAAAAUAAGCAGCACCAUACAAGAAACAAGGCUUGAUGACGCAGCACUAGCGUAGAAGGAUUAAAAAUAUAAAUCCUUGAAGAAACAAAGUUUUUGGAACCCACCAGUUUGAUAGAAACUCUAAAAGGAUAAUUUGAUUAAUUGAUGAGUUGAUGAUUACAAUGGAUAAUACCCAUGACUUAAAUAAGUCAUUUACAACACUUUUGGACAACUCAAAAGGCUUAGAGAAUUAAAACGAAAGUAAAUGACAUUAAUCGGAUGACAAUUGAAAAGUCCAAAACUUAUUACAAACUUUAUUUUUUGGUUUUGGAAGCCACGGUCGCAAGAGUUGGCAAGCCCCGCACACAACCGAAGGACGUAGUUAGCUUAUUGAUUACUCGGCCUGCGUGCCAUGAAUGCUUGGUAGUUUUUAAGGUCAACAAUUGUACAUUUGAGAAUGAAGGAAAAGUACAAUUGAGCCAAAUAUGUUUUUCUACAGUUUUCCUAUGGUUGGGGCCUCAACUCCAACUCGAAGUAUUUCUCCUCUUCCUUGCUUUCUCUUGAGUUAAUGAGAUAUUCCUUUUCUGAUGAGAAAAGGACUUGCAGUUUGAAAAAUGCAACAUAGACUAAAUCCAACAUGAUAAAUUUCGUUACACCCGCACUUUUGACUUAAUAUAUGUUAGGAGUUUGAAAGUCCUAAAAUGAUGAAGAAAUUGGGUAUCGAAUAAAAAUUUCGGGCCUCAAAUCCAUUGCACUUCAAACCACUGCAGGAAUUGAAACAGAUGACUCUAAUGCCUUAAUUUGAUGCUGAGAAUCUGAAACUUUCAUCUCCUUUACUAUCUGCUGGUAACCUGUAAAUGGGUCCCGUUUAUUGGGUUUGGAUCGUGUUUCACCUGACCCGUUAAGCUAAUUAGUCACCCCUAACUCGUUAAGCUAACGAGUCAUCCAACAAAAACCAUCAUCGGAGAAGACAAACGGAACCGGCCGGAUCGGGAUAAGGGAACGGGUCCAUCCUCCCGUGCCUUUUCCCUCUCCCUCAUUUUCCUCAUUUCCUCCCCUUUCAUCUCAACCAUCCAUCUCUCUCCUUUCUCUUCCUUUCCUUCCAUCCCAGCCACACAAGUGGCUUCACAAAUCUUUGCUCCAGAAAUCUGGAGCCUUCCAAAUUAAAGAAAAUUACCAAAAUGUCUUUAACUUUAAAUGUUAAUAACUCUUUCAUUAUAACUCUGUUUCACGAACGGUUUGCUCCUACACGUUCGUGAGAUCAAGCUCUAUUCAAAAUAUGAAUUGUAACCUCGAAAGGUCUACGGAUUUUAAAGAUUGAUUACGAAAAUUCAACCCCGAUAAUUAUUUGAUUUAAUUCCAAAAAUAAAUGAAAUUAAAAUUAACUAAUAAAAAUAACGUAAACGUGAAAUAUGAAUUUAAAUAACGAGAUACGUAAUUAAUAGUGAAAUUCCGAGGACGGGAUUUCACAAGAAUUCUUUACAAGGCUACAAAGAAAAUAAAUAAAUUAAACUUCUAGAGAUCUCAAAUCUAAUUCAAUCUCAUUCCGCCUACUCUCAUGACUGUCUAGUUUGAAAACCUGCAUAACAAUAAAGGGGUGAACUUCAACAACUCACUAGGGACAUAAUCUUAAAUAGUAAAAUAACCAAGCUAAAUUAGAUGUCAUGGCAUCAUACACAUCAGGUAUCAAAUCAUUAUUGAUAACAAUGCAUGAAGGCAACGUAAAGCACUUUACCUAUACUUGUUAAUUCGUAUAACAAAACACACAGACCUCGUACGUCUCAUUCCGUACUUAUACCACUUGAUCAUGAGUGCUAAGUUAUAUAAAAUUUCCACCGACCCCAAGCCCGGGUCGUGACACCUAACCAGGUCAACAGACCUGGUGAUCGCACCUAAUCAAAACCCCUGGUGCCAAUAGUGCCUGCUGGCGUGAGACCCUCUGCAGCAGCCCCAACAGAAGAGCCAAACGACUCUAUAUGACGUGGCUCGAUAACAACCGUCGAAUUGAUCUUAGGCGGGUGUAAUUGAUCUUAGGCGAUUAUUGAGGCGUGUCGGUAGAGAGAGGGAUUGAUUAAUUUGGUGGUUGCAUGACACAUGUAAUAUCUCCUUCAGUCAUGGAAGCUUUCUCAAAUUUUAGUCAGUCAAGUGUAAUGCCAACAAUUGUUUAAAGAACAGAUUAAUUUUUCUUCAAAACCUACAACUAGCAUACGGAACAAAACGAUCAAAUGGAAGUCACCAAGAGGCAAUAAUCACGGAUCGGGAGCUAUCAGAUGGACAGCACAGCACAAAACUUGACAUUGAGUACUUUACAUGUGGGCCAAUUCGGUGUUGGGCUUUACAUGUGGACCAAUCUGUUCUGACAUUCCAAAAAAAUAUGACCACAAAAUGAAACAAUAUAAAAAGUGAUUUAACUUAUUAUAAGUCCAUGCAAGGUUUUGUUAUUCGUCGAAAUGGGACUUUAGCCUUCACACCUUCACAUAAUGUUCCAAUAACUUGUUUUUUCCCAUUAAUUUUCUUGUUAAAAUAUGUCAAUAAUUAUGAAAAUGGUACGUAAAAGUACUCUUAUAACAUCCCUCAAAUAUGGAAAACCAAAUAAAAUAAUAAAACUAGAAAACAAAAUAAAAUAAUAAAACUAGAAAACACAUUGUUGAUGUGUAACCCUUGAGCUAAUAUCUUGGAGCUAAAGUUACAAAUUUUGAUUUUCCUUUUAUGUGAUUUAUCUUUCUGAUGUAAACCAAGUGGUCUCUUCUCUAGCAUAGGAUCCAAGUGAUAGAAUAAGACAAGUGACAUCAUCUCAUAGGAUGAUAGCAAUGAAUGGUUGAGAUUGUUGUGUAUUGGUGAGUGAAGGAUCUCCCUUCCUCUACAUACAUAACGGUUACAAAAUGUAUUUGGUCUAAUUGAGUGAAAUCCAAGAGACAUAUUCAAUCAUCUUCUCUCUGAACACCAUUGCUGUUUUGUUCUUCAAACUCUAACACAUAGAACUCCAUUGAAAUACAAAUAAAACACAAACUCUAAUAUGGCCUCAGAGCCGGGUUCGGUUAUCUAAACUGGGCGUAAAUCUGUGAAAAGAAAACUGGAAUUGAUUAGAGCUGCAAUCGAGCUCAUACGACGAUCGAGGUGGUGUGAUUUCUUGAAUCCGAUGUCUAACAUGGCAGGAUCGGGCACUGCUGAGCUUCGCACGCCAGUUUUCAAUGGAGAAAAUUAUGAGUUCUGGAGUAUUCGAAUGAAAACCAUUCUGAAAUCUCAUGGGUUAUGGGAUAUCGUUGAAAAUGGGUUCGAUGCUUCAGAUUCAAAGAAGGAGAAGAAGAAGAUAGAAGAGAUCGAGGUCACUGAAGUGGAGAAACCGACGUUAGCUGAAAUCCUGAUGAAGGAUGCUCGUGCACUUGGGUUGAUCCAAGGUGCUGUCUCAAACCAAAUUUUCCCCAGAAUUGUGAACGAAGAGACUUCAAAGGGUGCUUGGGACAUUCUGAAGCAAGAGUUAAGAUGAGAUAAGCAAGUAAGGAGCGUAAAAUUGCAAGGUUUGCGUCAAGAAUUUGAAUAUACUCGCAUGAAAGAUAGUGAAUCCUUAUCUGUAUAUCUUACUAGAUUGUUUGAUAUAAUGAAUCAAAUGAAGAGUUAUGGUGAGGAUCUGUCUAGAGAGAGAGUUGUGAAAAAAUUGUUGAUUAGUUUGCCUAGAUCACAUGAUCCUAUUUGUUCCGUAAUUGAACACUCUAAUGACCUUGAAACUCUUGAGGUUCAAGAGGUAGUUGCUUCUCUGAAAAGUUUUGAACUCAUAUUGGAUAGACAUGCUGAAAAUUCUACUGAACGAGCUUUUGCUAGUCUAAAUGUUGGAGGUAAAAACCCUAAGGGAGUAGGUUAUUCUGGAAAUCAAAAGUUUCAGAAAAACUAGAAAUCCAAAGGAAAGAAGUGGGAUAAUAAGCCAAAUUUUGUUCACAAACCAAAUGUCUCUAAUGAUGGAAACAAGACAGCUUGUAGACACUGUGAUAAAUUGCAUUAUGGCAAAUGUUGGUUUGAAGGGAAGUCUAAAUGCACAGGUUGUGGGAAACUUGGGCAUGUGAUCAGAGACUGCCAUGGAAACAAAAAUAUACAGAAGGUGAACUAUGUAAACCAGGUUGAAGAAAUUGGUACCAUGUUCAAUGCAUGUAAUGCUAUGACAGAUGUGAAGGUGAAUCAUUCAUGGUACAUUGAUAGUGGUUGUAGUAACCACAUGAUAGGUGAUGAAAGGUUACUAAUCAACAUUCAAAGGAAUCUGACUUCCAGGGUGAAGAUGGGAACUGGAGAAAUUGUUCAGGUUGCAGGAAAGGGGACUCUUGUUAUAGAGACCAAAUUGGGAAGAAAGCAUAUUCAAGAAGUGAUGCUUGUUCCUGGACUUGAAGAGAAUCUGCUAAGUGUUGGACAGAUGAUGGAGCACGGGUACUAUCUAUUGUUUGGAGGAAAUAUUGUGAAUAUCUUCGAUGGUUGGUCACUGGAUAAUCUUGUUGUUAGAGUGCAGAUGACAAACAACAGGUGUUUUCCUCUUACAAUGAUGCCCGCAAAUUAGUUAGCAUUGAAAGCAAGUGUGACACACUGUAUGCAGAUAGGGCAUAAACGUUUGGGGCAUCUAAAUAAUAGAAGCAUAAAAAUGCUUGAAGAUCAAGAAAUGGUUCAUGGAUUGCCUCAUUUGGAGAAAACCUCUGUUGUGUGUGAAGGCUGCAUGCUAGGAAAGCAACACAGAGAGUCUUUUCCAUCAAAAUCAGCUUGGAGAGCUAAACUUCCAUUGGAAUUGGUUCACACAGAUAUCUGUGGACCAAUGCAAACUGAAUCUAUCUCUGGAAAUAAGUACUUUCUCUUGUUCACUGAUGAUUGUACUAGGAUGUCUUUGGUAUAUUUUCUCAGAAACAAGUCAAGUGCAUUUGAUUGUUUCAAGAAGUUUAAAGCAAUGACAGAGUUGCAGUGUGGAUAUAAGGUGAAAUGUCUAAGGAGUGAUCGGGGUGGAGAGUUCUUAUCAACCGAAUUUGACAGUUAGUGCAAUGAGCUUGGAAUUCAAAGGCAAUUAACCAUGGCAUAUUCUCCUCAACAUAAUGGAGUAGCUGAGAGAAAGAAUAGGACUGUGGUGGAAAUGGCAAAGUCUAUGAUGCAUGAAAAGGGUCUUUCUUAUGCAUUUUGGGCAGAGGCUGUGAACACUACAGUCUACAUACUUAAUAGAUGUCCCUCAAAGUCUCUCAAGAAGAUAACUCCAUUUGAAGCAUACACUGGUAGAAAACCAGGUAUUGCACACUUGAAGAUUUUUGGGUCACUAUGCUAUGUGCACAUUCCCUCAACACUAAGGCAUAAGCUUGAAGAAAAUAGUCGCAAGUGUAUUUUUGUAGGCUAUGGAAUCUGUGAAAAAGGGUACAAAGUGUUUGAUUUGAGUUCCAGUAAGAUCAUCCUGUCUAGAGAUGUACACUUUGAUGAGAAUGCUUCAUGGGAGUGGGAGAACACUGAUAAGAGUGAAAUACAAGUCCCCAUGAUUGCUGAGAAUCAAAUGGCAGAUUGUAGUGAAGGACAGAAGCAAGUGGAAGUAUGUGAACCAAGUCAAUUCUUGGAUACAUCAACUCAAGUGGAGGAUGUUAUUACACCACUAAGUGAGAAUGUUUUCGAAAGCUCUCAAACAACUGAUCACACACCACAGAAAUGGAGAAGUGUCAAUGAGAUCAUGGCUCAGUGUAACAUGUGCAUUGUAGAACCUAAAAACUAUGAAGAAGCUAUUCUAGAUGAGUCAUGGGAAAAUGCAAUGAAAUUUGAGCUUGAAAUGAUUGAGAAGAACAACACAUGGGAGCUAGUUGAUAGACCAUUUGACAAGCCAAUCAUUGGUGUUAAGUGGGUCUAUAAAACCAAGUUGAAUCUUGAUGGACCUGUGCAGAAGAACAAGGCCAGACUGGUGGCAAAAGGUUAUUCCCAAAAGCAUGGGAUAGACUACAAUGAAACAUUCGCUCCGGUUGCAAGAUUAGAUACUAUCAGGACCUUGAUAGCAAUUGCUGCACAGAAGGAAUGGAAUCUAUAUCAGUUGGAUGUAAAAUCUGCUUUUCUGAAUGGAACUUUGAAGGAGGAGGUUUAUGUUGAGCAGCCACAAGGUUUCGUGAAGGAGAGUGAAGAAACCAAGGUGUAUAAGUUGAACAAGGCUCUGUAUGGGUUGAAGCAAGCUCUAAGAGCUUGGUAUGAUGAGAUAGAUUCCUAUUUUAGCAAGGCAGGUUUCAAGAAGAGCUCUAGUGAAGCAACACUUUAUGUCAAAACUAGUGAAGCUACAGGUAUCAUUAUUGUUUCACUCUAUGUGGAUGAUAUUGUAUAUACUGGAAGUUGUCCAAAACUACUUGAAGAGUUCAAAAAUGACAUGAUGUAGCAUUAUGAGAUGACUGAUCUGGGGUUACUUCAUCAUUUUCUUGGCAUGGGAGUAGUACAAACAGAUAAAAACAUUUUAAUCCACCAGAGGAAAUAUGCAAUGAAGCUUAUUGAGAAAUUUGGGAUGAAAGAUUGCAAAUCAGUGGCAACACCACUAGCUGUGAAUGAGAAGUUAUGCAAGAUAGAUGGUAGUGAAGCAGCAAAUGAAAGUGAAUAUAGACAAGUUGUAGGUAGCUUGUUAUACUUGACUGCUACAAGGUCGGAUAUAAUGUUUGCUUCUAGUUUACUUGCUAGAUUCAUGCCUAACCUCACAAAGAAACACAUGGGAACAGCCAAAAGGGUGUUGAGAUAUAUUCAGGGCACUCUUGAUUUUGGAAUUGAAUUUGUGAAAGGGAAGACAAAUACUCUAAUAGGGUACUGUGAUAGUGACCGGGCAGGAAGUGAGGAUGACAUGAGAAGCACCUCAGGAUAUGCAUUUACACUUGGAUCCGGUAUGUUUUCAUGGGCAUCAAUCAAACAAAACACAGUGGCACUGUCCACUGCAGAAGCAGAAUAUGUCAGUGCUGCAGAAGCAACAUCACAUGCUAAAUGGCUAAGGUUUGUGCUUGAAGAUUUUGGAGAGGAGCAAGUGGAAGGCACACCAAUUCUGUGUGAUAACACUUCAGCCAUAGCAAUGGCAAAGAAUCCAGUUCUUCACCAGAGAACUAGGCACAUCAGUAGGAAAUUUCAUUUUAUCAGGGAAGCUAUCCAAACAAAGGAGAUUGAACUCGUCUACUGCAAAACGGAAGACCAGAUUGCAGAUAUACUAACCAAGGCUCUGUCAAAGGAUCGAUUUGUUUACCUAAGAGAUCUACUUGGUGUGAAAUCAGCUAAAGGGUUAGAAGGGAGUGUUGAUGUGUAACCCUUGAGCUAAUAUCUUGGAGCUAAAGUUACAAAUUUUGAUUUUCCUUUUAUGUGAUUUAUCUUUCUGAUGUAAUCUGAGCCAUUGGAUCAUAGUCCAAGUGGUCUCUUCUCUAGCAUAGGAUCUAAGUGAUAGAAUAAGACAAGUGGCAUCAUCUCAUAGGAUGAUAGCAAUGAAUGGUUGAGAUUGUGUUGUGUAUUGGUGAGUGAAGGAUCUCCCUUCCUCUACAUACAUAACAGUUACAAAAUAUAUUUGGUCUAAUUGAGUGAAAUCCAAGAGACAUAUUCAAUCUUCUCUCUAAACACCAUUGUUGUUUUGUUCUUCAAACUCUAACACAGAGAACUCCAUUGAAAUACAAAUAAAACACAAACUCUAAUACACAUAUCCCUAUUCUAAUUUGGUAAACUAGGCAGCCAUAAAUUCCACACAUUUCCUAGUCAAAUUUGCACCAAAUCAGGCUUAAGAAGUGGUGUUGGAAAGAUGAAAACGUUCCUUUCAACUUUGUAGAAUGAACUUUCCUAAAAAAAAACAUAAUUUUCAAAGACUUGUGACCAAAACAGCCUAAAAUGUCAAUCUGACAGCGCAAUCCUCUUCACUCCUUGAUGAAUCAGUUCUAAUUGGAAUCACUCCAAAAUUUCAUCAUUUCGUCACUUUUUAAGCAAACUAGAUUUUGCUUGUCCUCCAAUUAAAGCAUAAAAGAAAGUAUCAAAAUUCUCUCAAGAUAACAAAUAAAUUAUACCAAAGAUUAUGAUAAAAAUAUAAAAUAAUAUCUACUAGGCGGUCCUCAUACAAUAAAAGAGAAUUAAGUCACGAUAAGCAUGGAAACUAUUGAGGAGAAUUUGUAAGGUAAAUAUUUAUACAAAUGAUAACACUAUUAUUCAUCAACGAUAACGCAAGUUUUAGGGUGAACUACAUUGAUGUUUUCUGUGUUUGCACUUAAAGUCCGCCAAUCUUUUUGCAUUUGUUGCCUAUUGCACUGCACAACUGAUGGAUGUUAAUAUUCAGUUUACAAGCAGUUCCUACUAAACCAGUUCCCUUGUAGUCUACGAAAUGUUGUACAAAUUUCGUAGCUUUGGUUUUAGAAUUUAUACAACUCUAGUUAUACACAUUACUCUUGAAUAUGUAACUGUUGUACAAGUAUUCUUAGUUACUUAGGCAUAGGAAAGUUUUGAUUUGAUUUGAUUGAAAAGAGUGUCUCCAAUUAAUCGAAUGAACAAGAAUCCUUUUAAACAAACAUAGCUGCUUUCAUUCUAAUUUCAGAAAAUCCAAAUCCAUGAAAACAUAUACAGCACUCUACUAUCUUUAUUGAUAUCACUUUCAUCUCCAUUUUGUUUGUUAAAGGAUACGAACAAACAUUGAUAUAACUUAAAACAGUAGGAUAUAUAGGGCAGAGUCUUGAACUUGAAUAACACAAUCAACUAAAAGCUAUGAAGCUUUCUUUCUUUUUAAAGAAACCUCGACGGUACGAGAGAAAAUUUUAUUGAAUAAAAAAAAAAAGUUACACCUAGUCGGGGGACAUAAACUUUACUCAAAAUAAAGACAGGAUAAAGAAAAUUGGCGAAAAUACAAGAAAGUAGGGGGACAUACACUUACAUAACAUAAAACAAACUUAUAACUAAACAUAUAGAGAAGGAAAGAAACCACAAUAGAGAAACCAAACGACAACAACAGAUGCAUAACAUUGUAACAAACUCAAUUUCUAUCCCCCCCCCCCACUAGUACUCUAAAUUUUCCAUAUCAUUUGUCUGAUCAUUCCAACAAUCUUAAGAAACAAAUCGGGCCUCCUUGUGAUCACAACAUCUGCAAGAACUACUCCCACUACCAACCCACUUCCACAUCCGGCCGAAACAAUUUUCCAAUCAAAUUCAAAUAUUCCUGCUGAGCUAGAAUCACCUUCGUCUACGGUUGGAGGUGGAAGUUGAGGGGCCUUAGGAUUUCCACAUUUCUUUGGCAAUGGAUCUCCACACAACCCUGGCACUACUACAAAAGGACCCUAUAGUGUCAGUUGUUGCGUCGGUUUAAUAUCAUAUAGUGGCGCACAAGAGAGUUGCGACACCCACUGAAUAUGACGUCGGAUUUAGAAAGUCUGCGUCGCUUCUAUAUGCGACACGCAUACUUAAUGUCGCUUAUAACCGACACACGUUUUAAUAAUUUUAAAUACUGGCGUCGCUUUGAAUAAAACAGUGUCGCUUUUAAGCGACAUUAAGUAUGCGUGUCGCAUAUAGAAGCGACACUAAUUGAUUUUUUUAUAUAUUUUAAAUCCUACGUCGGUUCUGAGCGACAUAUAUUUUAUUUUUUUAAAUAUUUUGAAAACCAGUGUCGGUUGUAAGCGACAGAUUGAUCGUCUUUAUAUUCACUCACCCGUGUUCAUCUUUUCCUCUUGCAUUUAUCUCAUUCUCACGGUUCACAAACCUUCUCUCUCUCACCUUCCGAGUUCUUCCAAGUUCAUUCUUCACAAAGGUAAAUUUUUCUUGCUUGUAGUAUUUUUAUUUUCUCCUCUUAUGUUUAAUAUUUUGAUACAAUUUAUUGUUGUAGGGAAUUUAUUUGAGCUGGUUGAGUAUAUAAAGAAUUGAUCGACGACGGAAUUCUUCUAUAAUUCAGGUUUUCUAUCACUAAAUUCUUUAAUUUUUAAAUUGUAUAAUACACAAGUUUAUUUAUUUAAAAAUUGUAAUUUAAGUAGUUAGAUAAAUUUCUAUUAUUUUUGUUAAAUUACUUCAUAUUUAGGCGAAAUAAAUUAAUUUUGUCACUUGAAUUGUUAUGAGAAAAUAGAAUGAAUAUUAUCUAUAAGCAUUUAUGUUAAAUUAACAACAUUAAAUAUAACUUAAACUUAUAAUAUUGAGUAAUUUAAGAAUAUAUUAUGUUAAAUUAAUUUUUUUUUCACUCUAAUUGUUAUUUUAAUUUGUUGUUAUUUUGAUAAUUUUUUGUUGUUAUUUACUAGAAUGGAUUAGAUGAGAAUAAUUUGAAUUGUUAUGAGAAAAUGGAAUGAAUAUUAUUUAUAUGCAUUUAUGUUAAAUUAACAAUAUUAAAUAUAACAUAAACUUAUAAUAUUUAGUAAUGUAAAAAUAUAUUAUGUUAAAUUAAUUUUUUUUUUUUUUGCAAUUUGAAUGGUUAUGAGAAAAUGAAAUGAAUAAUAUUUAUAAGCAUGUAUGUUAAAUUAACAAUAUUAAUAUAACAUAAACUUAUCAUUUUUAGUAAUAUAAGAAUAUAUUAUGUUAAAUUAAUUUUUUUUACAAUUUGAAUUGUUAUGAGAAAAUGGAAUGAAUAAUUUAAAUAAGCAUUUAUGUUAAAUUAACAAUAUUAAAUAUAACUUUUGCACUAUAAUUGUUAUUUUAAUUUAUUGUUAUUUUGUUAACUUUUGGUUGUUAUUUACUAGAAUGGAUUAGAUGAGCAUAAUUUUGAUAACUUUUUGUUGUUAUUUUAAUUUGUUUUUACUACAAUAGGUGUUGAAAAUUAAAAGAUUGCAAUCGUGAUCGUGAUAGAGUUCGAGGGUUGAAAGAUAGAAAUUGAAAAUUCUAAUAGUUAUGCCUACAUGAUAGGGAUUGCAAGAUUGUAGGCAUCUUAGUGUCAGCGUAAUAUUUUACCCUCAUAAACUGGUAAAACAUGGACAAGAGUUGGUUGACGAUACCUCAAAAUUUUGAAGCGUAUACAGUUGGAAUUAAUUUGUUUUUGGAUCAAGCAGUUGCAAAUGGUGUUGGUCCUGAUAAGUUUAGAUGUCCUUGCAAAAGAUGUUGUAAUCGAUAAACUUUUGUUAGGAACACUAUUAUUGAACAUCUCAUAUUGUAUGAUAUGGAUAAAGAUUAUAAAAAUGCUUGCUGGCGACAUCAUGGCGAGCAAAACAUUGGAGAGCAAAAUGUGGCAAUUGGAGAAGAAGAAACAUGAGAUGAGGUGAUUGGUAUGCAUGACUUUCUUAAUGAUGUAUUUGUCCAACCAUUAACAGAAGAAGGUGUUGGGCCGUCUAUUGAACCGUCUAUUGGGGAAGGGCGUCCAGAAGAGGUGGAGACUUUUUUUAGGUUGCUUGAAGAGCCAGAUCAAGAUUUGUGGCCAGGGUGUAAGGAGUUUAAGAAAUUAGAAGCAGUUGUAAGGCUGUAUCAGAUCAAGUGUUUAGCGGGAAUGCCAGACGACAUCUUCACAACUUUACUGGAGUUAAUUAAAAGAAUGUUGCCUGAAGGGGAUUGUUUGCCUGAAUCAUGUUAUAAGGCAAAAAAACUUAUAAAUGACUUGGGUCUGACGUAUGUGAAAAUUGAUGCAUGUCCCAAUGAUUGCAUGAUCUAUUGGAAAGAUACUUCGGAUUUGACCGUGUGCUCGGUUUGUGGUGAAUCAAGAUAUAAAGUUACCAACGCAGCGGAUAGGUCGAGAAAAAAAAGAUCGCAGCUAAGGUUAUGUGGUAUUUUCCUUUAAAACCAAGAUUGCAACGAUUUUUUAUGUCGAAGCAUACGGCUGAACAUAUGAGGUGGCAUGCAAUUGAAUGUCCUAAAGAUGAGUUUAUGAGACAUCCUUCAGAUUCUCCAGCAUGGAAGCAUUUGGAUAAUUUAUAUCCGGAUUUUGCGUCGUCAGAAAUUCGAAAUGUUCGAUUAGGGUUGGCCAGUGAUGGAUUUAAUCCUUUUGGAAAAAUGAGGAAUGAUCAUAGCACAUGGCCGGUGGUGCUUUCUGUUUACAAUUUGCCGCCUUGGAUGUGCAUGAAGCAACCAAAUUUGUUGUUGUCUCUUUUAAUACCAGGACCGCGCAGUCCUGGUAAAGAGAUUGAUGUAUACAUGCGUCCACUGAUUGACGAGUUGAAUGAGUUGUGGGAGGUGGGCACUCCAACUUAUGAUGCGUAUUCCAACCAAAGUUUUAUGAUGAAGGCUGCUGUCUUAUGGACUAUAAGUGAUUUUCCGGCUUAUGGAAUGUUGUCAGGAUGGAGUACACAUGGCUAUAAAGCAUGUCCACAUUGCAUGCAUGAUAAAGAAUCCAUUUACUUGCCGGCGAGUCGUAAAAUUUGUUAUAUGGGGCAUCGACGGUUUCUUGAAGAUAAUCAUAGGUUUCGAAGGCAAACCACAGCUUUUAAUGGUCGUCGUGAGCAUCGUGAGCAUCGUAGUGCACCAAGGCAGUGGACUGGUUUACAAUGUCUUGAAGAACUUUGUACAUUGAGAUUUACUUUUGGAAAACCAAAGAAAAAUGCUUCAGUCGGGCAACGCAGAAAAAGAACUUCGAGCAGUACAAGUGGUAACAGUCAGUGGAAGAAGAAAUCUAUUUUUUAUGAACUACCUUAUUGGAGGCAUCUGUUGAUUAGACACAAUCUUGAUGUUAUGCAUAUCGAGAAGAAUAUAUGUGACAGUCUGGUGGGAACAUUGCUAGGUAUAGAAAAGUCUAAAGAUGGAUUGGCUGCACGUGCAGAUCUUGAAGUCUUGAACAUAAGACGCAGUCAACACCCACGUAGAGAAGGAAAUAGAACAUUUCUACCUCCAGCUUUGUUCACGUUGAAAAGAGAAGAAAAAACUGCGCGUUUUGCAAUGUGUUGUCUACUAUUCGGGUCCCCGAUGGAUAUUCAUCAAAUUUAUCGCGAUGUGUGCACGUGAAUGAACGAAAAAUACAUGGGUUGAAAAAGUCAUGAUUGCCAUGUUUUAAUGCAGCAGUUACUCCCGCUUGCAAUACGCCCGGUUUUGCCUAAAGUUGUUACUAUGGUAUUAUUAGAGUUGAGUGCAAUUUUCAGACAGUUGUGUAGUAAGAAGGAGUCUGAGGAAGGAUUUCAAGGAACUGAGUUCAAGAAUUGCCUUGACAUUAUGUCAACUUGAAAAAAUAUUUCCUCCUGCAUUUUUUUGAUAUUAUGGUGCACCUUCCAGUUCACUUGGCAGAUGAAGCAGCUCUUGCAGGGCCUGUUCCCUAUAGAUGGAUGUAUCCAAUUGAACGGUAAUUAAUAAUUUUUUUAUAAAUUUUUUACAAUUGUAGUCAUAACUUUAAUUUAUAAUUAUUACAAUUGUAGUCAUAACUUUAAUUUAUAAUUAUAGGUAUUUGCAAACGUUGAAGCGCAAUGUUCGUAAUAAAGGUCGUCCUGAAGGUUCUAUGGCUGAAGCAAAUUUGGUGGAUGAGUGCUUGUCCUUCUGUUCCAUGUAUCUUAGAGGUGUCGAGUCUCGUCGUAACCGUAGAGGCCGAAAUGAAGAUGGUAUUGGACGUGGAGUGUCUGGUGGGUUAUCAAUUUUUGACUCCAAAGGAUGUUAUAUGGGUUCAGGAGAACAUGUGGAGCUCGAUCUAAAUACUCUUGAUCAGUGCCAUAGAUAUAUUCUAAAUAAUUGUGAUGAAGUGAACCCAUUUAGAAGGUAAUAACGUUUAAUCACACGUUUUAAUGUUUUAUUGAUUUUCUUAACUUUGAAAAAUUAAUUAUCUAAAUUUCGACAUAAUUGUGUAGCCAACAUGAGGAAUUCUUGAAAACUAAACAUCGUCGAGAAAGGUUAACUAUGCGCCAAAUUAAGGAGCUAAGCAAGAAAGAAUUUCCAGAAUGGUUCAAGCAACAUGUGAGUUGAUAUAACAAUCACAUUAUUUAUUUAUUGUUUUGCAUUUUAAUUAUAACAUGUUAUAGUUAUUCUGUCAAUUUUUAUCUUCAUACUUAUUACAGAUGAAUUCAAGCUAUCAUGCUAAUGACACGUUGAUAUCUGAAGACUUGCAUUGGCUAGCUAAUUAUCCUAGUAGGGUUGUGAGUAGAUAUAAAAGUCACAUUGUUCAUGGGUUUAGAUUUCGUAUAAAAUCUGUGGAUGAUAAGCAUAAGAAUCAAAAUUGUGGUGUCUUUGUACCUGCAAAUGUUCCUGGAGCAAUUGGGCAAGUGAAUUGUUAUGGCAGAGUUGUUGAUAUGUUCGAGGUUAAAUAUUGUGGUCCUACUGAGGCGGAAGAUAGGGGUCGAGCUGUGAUGUUAUUUAAGUGCGAAUGGGUUAAUAGUGAAAGUCCACGAGGAAUGAAGACCGAUCAAUAUGGAUUUACUAUGGUGAAUUUCAAUCAAUUGGGAUUUAAAGAGGAUCCUUUCAUACUAGCAUCACAAGCAUUACAAGCAUUUUAUGUGGAGGACACAAUUGAAAAAGAUUGGCACGUAGUUGUUCGAACUCAGCCGAGGGAUUUGUUUGACGUACUAGAGGAUAGUGAUGCUAUUGAUGAUUAUGCCAUACCGAAUUUGGAUGAUCGAAUUCUUGAUAAUGAAAAUUUUCAUACAAGGGUUGGCGUGGAAGGGACUCCUUUUCUUGAAUCAUUAGCGCUGCCUACCGAGUUCGUUAAUCAUGCCAAUGUUGACGAUGAGCUAACAGAUGAUGAAGGAGAAUAAAUAUGUUAAUUAUUUUAUGUAUUAAUUAUCCUAUCUUUCAUUUCGUAUGUUAUGUUAUCUUAUUAUCAAAAUUAUAUUUUUGUUUUUUUUUAUUAAGUAUUAAAUAUAAGUUAAACCUUUUAUUUUUAAUAUUGGGUUAUAAUUUUUUUUUUUUUAGCUUGUUUCCUGUCGCUUUUAACCGACGUCGGUUUAAUUAAAAUAUUUUGGGCGGCAUUUUUCGCGGUUUUUUAAUUAAGUUGGCGUCGGUUUUAACUGACGCAAUGAAAGCUUAUUUCGACGCAAUGUCAUUUUAGCGUCGGUUUAAACCGACGCAAACUAAGAUUAUUUCGACGCAGACUGUCAUAUUACGUCGGUUUGAUCCGACGCAAUAUAAGCCUAUUUCGACGCAAUGUGAGUCUAUUUCGACGCAAGUUAAAAACCUGUUGUGAAUUAUAUGUAUUAAUGCGAAGAAAGGAUGAUUAUUUUUUCUUAUUUAAAGUUCACGAAAUUUUUUGAGCCGUUAAUUACACUAUUUUUCUUUUUUAUUUAACAAUUUUAUACUUCUAAAAACUUUAACAAUUUUAUACACUAGUGGAUAUCCCAAAAUCUUGUGUUAUACUUAAUGAAAGUAUGAAUAAACUGUUUAAGUGUUAGUGAAUGUAUCGUUUUGAUGGAAUACGAACUCUACGAAACUAAUUUCAACGAUCGAACCGUCAAACAUGUUUGUGUAUACUUCGAGAUCGCAUACGCCAAAAAUUAAAAAAAAAAAACUUUCUGAGACACAGUAACGGGAAAAACUUAUUCGACGGUUAUUAACGAAAAAUCACGAUGUAACGGUUAUUUUAACUCCGAUUUUGAUGAUUUUUUAUAUGUACACUCCUUCACCCUAUAUGAAUACGGUGAAUGAAUGCGAUCUUCAAUUUGAAAUAUUUACACUAGUGGAUAUCCCAAAAUCUUGUGUUAUACUUAAUGAAAGUAUGAAUAAACUGUUUAAGUGUUAGUGAAUGUAUCGUUUUAAUACAACAAAUUAUUUGCAUAAGAAAAAUUCAUUUUAAACGAAUAAUGAUAAGUUAAGAUAGAAUAUUUGUGGUGAAUUUAGAAUAUUUAUCAUAAUAUUUUAUGAACUAGUUGGUCAAUUAUUUACAAUAAAAAUCAAAAUUUUAAGGAUAUUAUAAACCGAACAAUGUUUGAUCAAAAGUUUCAAAAUUAUAGAUGUUUGAUUAAAACAAUUCAAAUAUAAGCCAUCAAUAUCACAAUGUUCCUAAAAUUAUAUUUGUGUUUUUAUUAAGCAUUAUGUAUAAGUUAAAUUUUAUAUAUUAAAAUAUUAUAAGAAAUAACCUUUUUUUAUUUUAACUAUUUUUUUUUCUCCUGCGUUUCCAUUUUUUCUUUUUUAGUUAAACUCUUUUUUUAUUUUUUUGUUGGGCGGGAAUUUUCCCGGUUUUUUUGCACGGGGAAAUGGAUCGGAAGAAUUAGGGUGGAAUUGGACGUGCGAAAGAACCGAAGCAUCGAAAUAAUAAAUAGUUGCGUCGAAAUAAUAAGUAGUGGCGUCGGUUUUAAUCGACGUAAAUACUUAUUAUUUCGACACAACCACUUAUUAUUUCGACGCCUCGUAUUAUACGUCGGUUUAAACCGACGCAACCAGUUAUUGUUUCGACGCAGGCAUUUAUUUCUAUGCCUCGGUUCUUUCACACGUCCAAUUCCGAGGACACUGCAAUUAAUGUCUGUCAGAAUAACGUCGGUUAAAACCGACGUCAUUGUCCUCUAUUUCGACGCUAGUUAGAAAUGUCAGACUAUAACGUCGGUUUUAAGCGACGCAAUAUGCCCAUAUUUCGACGCCUCGGUCACAUUCGCACGUCCAAUUCCGAGGCCACUGCAAUUACUGUCUGUCAGAAUAACGUCGGUUCAAAUCGACGCAAUUAGCCUCUAUUUCGACGCUAUUUAAAUCUGUCAGACCUAACGUCGUUUUGAAGCGACGCAAUGUUACCCUAUUUCGACGCUAGUCAAAAAUGUUGCAGAGGUGGUGUCGCUUUGAAGCGACGUAAUAGUUGCAUAUUUCGACGCUAAUUUUUUUGGCAUAUUUAAGGUUCUACGACCUAUUUCCGUCUCUCUCAUUUCACUCCCCAUUUCACUCCCUUCACUCCCCAUUUCACUCCCUUCACUCCUAUUUCCGCACUUCUUCCUUUGGUUUUGCUAUGGAUAGUAGUUGUGAUUCUCAACGUGAUGAGGAACUUCAUGUGGAAGAGGAGGAGGUUGAAGCUGGUUAUUUUUCUACAUUAUUAUUGGAUUCGUUUUUUUUUUUUUUUUUGUGUUUAAUCUUCUAUUAUCCUUAUAAACUGAAAGUUUACAUCUGUUUCCAACUUUUUUGGUUUGUUUUAACUGUGGUUUUGUUAUGAACAAGGAACUUCUCAACGGAGGCGAGGACCCUCAAUUCCCAAAUGGACGAAACAGCUUUGUUCGUUUGAUAUGUCUGGAAAAUGCGUUAAUGAUAACUCUAGUGCAUUUUCAAAAUAUGUGGCAUCGGAGGUUAGAGACCACAGAAUUCUCCCAUUGGCGAAGCAUUGGCGUAAGAUUAAGGAUGUAGAUAAGGAAGCUUUUUGGAAUAGAAUUAAGGUAUAGGUAUUUAUAUUUUUAUUAGAAAAUAAAAGAAUAAUUCAAUGAUUGUUAUAAUAUUUGACUUGGUUGAUUUAUUUUUUUUAUUUUUUAUUUUAUGGAUGUAGGGAAAUAUUGUUUUUGAAGAUGCUGAUAUACCAAGAUUGCCUUUGAUCCGCUUUAUGACGCUUAAGGUUGCUGAGCAUGCACAUAAGGAGUACAGAAAUAAGUUAAAAAAAAAAUAUUAUACCAACAGAGCUGCAGAGGAGCGUCCCCAGCCUCCUCCUGAUGUGAAUCCUACCCAGUGGGGUAAUUUGUUGGCAUACUGGAGUGGAGAUAAAACAAAGGUAAACGAUGUAGUUUAUUUCGUUAUAACUAUAAAUUUGUGUAAUAAUUUUUUUAUUUUUAUUUUCAGGAGGUUGCUGAAAAAAACAAGAUUAAUCGGCAAAAGAAAACAAUGAACCAUACUACUGGUACAAAAUCUUUUGCAAGAAAGCGGCAAAGAUAUGUAUGGAUUGUACAAUUUGAAGAAAUGUUAUUUUAAAUAUUCUAUAGUUAUAAAUUUUAAUUUUAACGAGGUUAGCCUAAAAUUGUUUGUGUGAAAUUUUAUUUUUGGUAAAGCGGAAGAAGCAUGGGAAAGAAGCUGAUCCUGUAACCUUUUUUCGUGAAUGUCAUACACGAAAAAAUGAAGCUUGGAUUGAUGAAGAAUCGGAGCGUACAGGGGUAAUUUAUUUUACUGUGUUGGUAUUUCAUUAUUAUUCAAAUUUAUUAUCUAUAGCUUAUUGUUCUGUUUUAUGAUUGAAUUUUUCUUUUUAAAAAUUGUAAUGCUAGGCAACAAUGGAGAGCAAUCUGCAAACUUUGAUUCAGUCGGGGCAAGAGGAUAAUGAAGAUCUUAGGAACCAAGUGUAUGUUGACACAAUGGGUCCUGAGAGGUAUAAUAGAGUCAGAGGAUACGGUCAUGGGGUGACUCCUGAUAUGGUGUCCUAUGCAUCUUCUUCGUCUUCUACAUCAAUUUCCUCCAAGAGGUCAUCUAACAGUGCAAUGGCAUUGCUGAUGACUCAAAAUAAUGAGUUGAAAUUGAGGGACGAAAAUAACAAUAAACGGAUUUCGGACCUAGAGAACAAGCAAAGUCAGUUGUUUGCGUGGCUUUUCCAAAGAUUUCAACCACAAGCACAACCACAACCACCGUUUAGCCCGGGAACCCAACAGUCAGGCCAGAGUCAGCCUCCUCCUCCUCAACAGUCGGGUCAAAGUCAGCCGCCCCCUGCAUAUCCUUAUGCUGGCUAUAAUCAGCAACCUCCGUAUCCUAUGUAUCUGCUGCCUAUGUAGCCCACGCCAUACAUGCAGCAGCCGCCUAUGCCAUACAUGCAGCAGCCUCCCAUGCCUUACAUGCAGGAGCCGCCUUAUCAAGUGCCAGUAUAUCGACCCGAGAUGGCUGCGCCUUGUCCUGAAUUUCCAGCUGGGGGGUUUGCUGAAAUGCUUGCGGGUGUUGGAUCUGAUGUGGACUUGUCGAGGAUGUUGGCAUCAAAUAUAGGACCUCAAGGGCGAGAAGGAUCUGUGCCACGUUCAGGCGCAGAUUCGGUUCCGUAGUUUAUUUGGUUCGCUUUCUUGUCGGUUAAAUAUGACACUUUAAUCGUUCUAUCUUUUUUUUUUUUAUGUUAUGUUUGUAAUGUCGGAUUUAGUAGUUGUUAUGACGGAUGGGUUUUUGUAUAUUUUGACAUUAUUUUUAUUGUUAAUUAUUUUCAUUAAUGUAUGGACAAUAUUGUGUAUGUUGGCACUAUUUUUUUUAAUUAUUUUUUUAAUGUUUUUCUUUUGACCUUGAAAUUAAUUAAUAUAAUUAUAUAAAAUUUUUCUGUUACAAUGAAUCGAAGAAGAAUGCGAUUUGUAUGUUUUUUUUUAUUAUUAUUAACAAAGGUGGUGUCGGUUAAGACCGUUAUUCGGUUGCAUAUUUUAUUUAUUUAAUUGUUAAUUGACGUCGGUUUAUGGGAUAUUAAAUUGAUUUAAUAUUAUUUCAGUGUCAUUUAAAAGCGACAGUAGGAAUUAUAUUUUACAAUUAAAUUGCUAUUGAACGUUGCCUUAAAGCGACGUAACGUGUAAGUAUGCGUCGCUUUAAACCGACGUUAGUUUAGUGUCGCUUUAAAGCGACGCUAUGUAGUGUCGGUUUAAGCCACCAAACCGACGCUAAAGCCCUUUCGUGACGCUAGCAAUAGUGUCGCUUUGAAAAUGCGACAUUACAUUGUUUUAUGUCGCAUUUUUGCCAAAAUUGCGACAGAAAUCUGAUUUCUUGUCGGUUUUGACUCCGACGGUGAUAGCAUAUAUUGUAGUAGUGUGGGUUUCCCUCGUAUGAAGUAAUAUUCAAUGAAGUAAGCUGGGUUCCUUCUGGUAUAGGACCUGUAUGAACGAAUAUGUCAUGUUUGUAUAUGAUAUUUUAUUUUUUUUAUCCUACGGCCUACUAUGUUAUCUUCAUCUUCGGUCUCAAAAGCCUUCCUUAACUUCUCUUUAUCUAUCUCAAAUUCAUAGCAUAGUAAUAAAAACAUACUGCAAACAAUUUCACUAUGCAUUAAAAUUUAUCAACACAAUUCCUUGAGCUCUCGACAUUAUAAAUUUAUAAAUGAAAGAAAACAGGUGUUAAUGCAGAAGUCAAAAGAUAUAAAUCACUUUCAAUUGAUAGAACUAAAAGAUCACAAAAAAAACAUGGACCUAGCGUUGAUACCAUAAGAAUGUCCAAAGGCUAUUCCUGUUAACUUAGCCUGGUCUUCUCUUGGUCGAUUCUCGAUCAACUCCUCCUGCUUAACCUCAAUUAUUUCAGUUGUCACCUCAUUCCUCCCCCUCUUUUUACUGACUUUAAUCUCACUUGCACCAGCAGCGGGGAUGGCUGGCACAACAGUUCCCGACCCACCAAAUCAAUCAUUCCAAAAUUUCUCAGUCUCAAUCAAUUCAACGAACAGAAUGGCAGCACCACAUUUUCUUCGAACACCACCUGGCAUCCCACAAGUCUACAACCCUCAAUCCACCACUACCUUCAAUGUGUAGCCACCUCAACCACGGGGACCAGCCACCCAUGGUUUCAUGUAUGCAAGUGGAGUUACAACCAGCAAUGCAGCAGAAAACAAAAGUAGAAAAUGGAGAAAAAGAAUAUAGAAAGAAAAAGGGUGUCUGGAGGUGGAGAAAAGCCGAGAGGAGAAAGUGGAGAGCACGGCUGCCCACUCCAUUGUCUAAUAAAAUAAGAUCAAGAUGAACUUUAAUCAUUCAUGGCAGGGGACAAAUACAGAGUAUAAUAUAUACCCAUUAUCCCACUAUCUGGAAAAGUAUAGAGUAUGGAGUGCAAAGUGACACAACUAUUUAUAGACUGGCAUCAGUAUAAAAUUCUUCCGCAAAUUAUACAUAUACUAAAACCCAGUUCCCCGAGCACCGUUUUUCACAGUUCGUGAACAAUGAAAAGACGGUAAUACCCUCGGGUUUUCUUAGCUUUGCCCUCAUGUGUGCAGUCAAUUGCCGGUUUUACCCAUUGAUCCCAAGGGUUCUGUGUCGUUUCUUUCUCUCUUUCCAUUCAUCUCUUUCACUUUACCUUUCAGCUCUCCAUUUUUUGCUUUCCUCAACUGGGUUUUCCUUCGUCGUCGGUGUGCGCUCUGAUUUCUCUCAAUUUAUUCCUUUUCGUUUUGCGAAAUUAUGUCCGGCGAGACAUGAUCUUUGAUUUUUGCAACCAUUGUUGGCCGUUAUUCUCUGUUUUUGGCUGCCAUCCGUAGUUUGGAUCGAUUUCGUCUUUUUCACCGUUUUGUUUCAAGCCUCUCUUUUGAGAGAAUUUUUACGUAUUAAGGUUAGUGAUUUCUAAACUUAAGUUUUGCUUUGCAGUUUGAUUUCAUUUUUGGUUGUCUUGCCCAAAUGUUAGAAGCUUUUAAUUUUUUUGGGUUCAAUUUUAAAUGGGUUGUUGCUUUCGGAGUUUUCGUUUGAUGACAGAGAUGGGGGUUUUUGGGGAAAAACUUUUAAUCCGUGAGUUUUAGUUAAGUUGUGUUGUGGGUCCUGACAAAUGGAUUUUUUGUUGAAAUUGUUUUUCUUCUCAUUUUUGGUUUUUUUUAUUUUUUUUAUUUUUAUUUUUUUGUGCCAUCGGGUUUUUGCAUGUGGGUGUAUAAUCAGGUUUUCUUCUGAAUUUCAGGGGAUUCAGGUUUUUAUUUUUUUUGGAACUUUUGUAUGCAGCUUUGGAAGACAUUUACGCUUAAGGUGAGAAACUUUGGUUGCCCGCUUUUGGGUUUUGUUGUAGAAUUAAGUUUUUUUUUAUUUUUUAAAGAGUUACAUUCGUGGGAAUUCAUUUAUUCUUCUUUUUUUCUGCAUCUGGAAAAUGCAACCUGAUGUGAGUUAUAGUCAUAAGUGCAAACAAGAAAAAGUUAUAGUCUUAAGUGCAAGAAAUAUAAAGCCAAAAGAACCUAGCAACAAUAUCAUACCUUAUUUUUCAAUUUACUUAUAAGGUUUCACAUUUUUGUAAAUAUCAAGAACAAAAACCUAGAACAGCCUCACAAUUUGGUGCACUGACUAGGAAAUUGACAGUUGGGUAUAGGUAUGGGUAGUUAAAAACUAUGAGACAUGAGAAUUAUUGUCAAAUGCAAGGACAGAAGGUCGUGUAUUUGCAAAGUUGAAGCGGCCCAAGGACCGAGUGGGUUUAAGGUUUAAUGCUCAGUAGUUGUUGUGCUUCUGCUGCUUUUUAGUUGUCGAGGAUAUGCAGGGAGAGCAAAUAAAAAGAUUGUAUUCACUGUGUUGACGCAUUAUUGAACAAGAGACCCAAAAGGAAGGACAUAUUCAAUCUCAAAGUCUGUCAGCUUUCGCUUCUUAAUUUUACAACAACAACAAAGCCUUUUCCCACUAAGUGGUUAUUAAUUUUGUUUGCUCUUCGAAAGUUGAAUGCAUGAGUUUUAUAAUUUUUUUGCGAUUAGUUUACCUGAGAUGGGUUUUGGGUAAUCAUGUAUUAUUUUCUGAUUUGGUUACAGGAUGCAAAUCAUUGCUUCUUUAGAAAAGAUUAAGGAAGGUGAGCAAUUUCAGAAAAAAAAAAUGCGAUUAUCAUUUUCUAGAGAUCAUGGCAUGCCCUUCCGUUAUUUUUUGGUAGAGAUAGGUGUAACGGGCAUCUCUUACUAGUUGAUCUCUAAAGAGUGAUAGAGAUAGGUGUAACGGGGCAAGAACUUUUUGAAGUCAAGUCUUCAACUUUUGAAGUCAAGUGCAUCGUAUCUUCUACAUGCGUAAAAGAGGCUCUUGUCUAAUUGAUUCGUGAGUUAAUUUUUGAAGUCAAAUCUUCAACUUUUGAGAUGGCGUGAAAUUAGAAAUUAGACAAAUGAGCAGCACCAUAAAAGAAAAAAAAAAUUGCAUACACACAUAUAGUUUAUCUCAUGAGUUCCUUCUGUAAGGGUUUAUGAUAUUUGUAUUGACACUCUUGUAAGGUUUUAUCAUAUUUGUAUGGCCAAUUGCAAGACUAAUCAAAACUUUGUAUUUGGGUACUUCUAAAUGUGUUGGACCUUCAUGCUUGAAAUCUUCAUUAAAAUAUGUGUAAUUUGUAUUUGAAUGUAAAAUUAAACAAAAAUAAAUAAAUGUUAAUGGGUGACUCAUGAGUUUAACAGAUUGAGUUUGAGUAACUCAUUAGCUUAACGAGUUGGGUGUGGAUGACUCGUUAGUCUAAAUGGUCAAGUGAAAUCCGAUCCAAACUAAAUAAACCCGAUCCGUUUAUAGGUUACUAGCAGAUAGUAAGGGGGAUGAAAGUUUCGAACUCUCAACAGCAAAUUAAGACACUAGAGUCAUCAGAUUCAAUUCCUGCAUUGGCUUGAAGUGGAAUGGAUUUGAAGCAAGAACUUUUCAUUCGAUAUCCAAUUUCUUCAUCAUUAGGACUUUCAAACUCCAAGCAUAUAUUAAGUCAAGAUUGCGGGUGUAACGAAAUUUUUCAUGUUGGAUUUGGUCUAUGUUGCAUUUUCCAAACUGCAAGCCCUUUUUUCAUCAGAAAAGAAAUAUCUCAUUAACUCAAGAGAAAGCAAGGAAGAGAGAUACUUCCACUUGGAGGUGAGGCCCCAACCAUAGGAAAACUGUAGAAAAACGUAUUUGGCUCAAUUCUACUUUUCAUUCAUUCUCAAAUGUACAAUAUAUAUAUAUAUAUAUAUAUAGCCAAGUCCAAUAUUAGAAGUCAAAUCGUGUGAAUGGUAGAAGAUCAAUGUAUAAAAAUCAUUGUUCUAAAAAACGCCAUAGGCAGCCACCUAGGCGCUAGGCGCCUUGGAACCGAGGCGAUUUUGUGCAAAAAGGCUAGAAAAAUUGGGGUGGCUCUAGGCGGGCUAGGUGGCUGGAUGAUUUUUUUUUUUUUAAAUGUUAAAGUCUAAGUUCUAAUUAUACCUUGAAAUUUUAUUAAUUUUAUAGAAUAGGUGUGUUGUGUACCAACUUAAAUUCCGGGAUGCUAAAGAUAAGUAUCUUACAUUACUAAAUUUCCGUAUUUUCCUCCUAUUUUCCAUUUUAUGUUAUUUUAAAAUGUGAACUUAUUGUACAUGUGUCAUACUACAAUACUCCUCAAUAUGGUUAUAUGGCAUUGUAGACAUCGAAAUUUCGGUAAAUAAAUGUUGACCGAUAAAUCAAAGUUUCAACGCUCAUGUAUUACAGAAAUUUUACACGUAGCGUGUGUCUAAACAAAAAAUCGAGAAUCAUCGGAAAAGUCAUCAAACAUGACACAUGUCAACACCUGGCAGAAACGACUUAUUUCAUCUGGAAUAUUAUAUUCAAAAUUAGGCCUUGGAAAAUUCUAUAAAUAAAAGCCAAUUUCAUUCAUUUGAGGGGACCAAAAAAUCAUUAGGCAAAAUUCUUGAAGCUCUGAAGCUCUGAAACUCCGAAGCUCUCAAGUAUCCAGGUUCCCGAAGAAUCAAGAAAGCUCUCUUCGUUCUUUGUUCUUCGUUCAUCCUAAGAUCAAGCCCCAACGGCCCUUUGGAUCAACAAUCAUCCACCAAUUCAAGAUCAAGCCCCGACGGCCCUUGAAGAAAGUGUUCUUCGUUCUUCGUUCAUCCUUCUUCCAAGAUCAAGCCCCGACGACCCUUGGAUCAACAAGCCACCGUUCUUUAGGAUCAAGCCCAAAAGCCCUUGAAGAUCCGUUCAUCACUGUUCUUCAAGAUCAAGCCCAAAAGCCCCUUGAAAGAUCCGUUCAUCACUGUUAUUCAAGAUCAAGCCCAAAAGCCCUUGAAGAUCCGCUCAUCACCGUUAUUCAAGAUCAAGCCUCAAUGGUCCUUGAAGAAACACUCAUCCUCAAGAUCAAGCCCCAACGGCUCCUUGAAGAAACUUCCAACAGUUCAUCCAAAAUCAAGCCUCGACGGUCCUUGGAUCAACAAAACUAGGGGUGGAAUUUUUUCCCGAAAAUCCCGAACCGUCCCGAUCCCGUCCCGAAAUUAACCCGAAAAAUUCCCUAACCGAAUUUCCGGAAACAUUCGGUUUAGGGUUUAGGGAAUCCCGAACCGAACCGAAUAUUAUAUAUAUAUAUAUUUAUUUAUUUUUAAUUUUUAAUUAGAAAUUACUUGAACCGUUGGAUUUGUUAAAAUCUAAUCCAACCGUCCAUAGUUAGGUCAUUUGUUUGUUAGGUUAUCAGACUCUCUCAGUCGCUCUCGCUCUCUCACUUCACUGGCUCACUCACACACACUCUCACUCUCACAGUCACUCUCACCACAGUCCCCCCGCUCCACUCCUCCGUCGAAUCCACGCCGCUCAUCAUCGUCCAUCACUCCAUUGACUCACGCUGCUCCACUCCUCCGUCGAAUCCAUGCCGGUCCUCGUCAUCCAUUGACUCACGCCGCUUCUCCAUGGACUGACGCUUCUCCAUCGACUCACACACUCGAAUCCGACACCAAUCGAGUCCCAAAAUCCAGGUUAGUAGGCCUAGAAGCUUUCCCAGUUGCAUGCAAUGCUUCAUCUCUGUGCCUCGAGAAAUUUCUUCACUGAUUAGCAUAACAAAUCUCACAGAGAGAGAGAAAGAGUGGGAGUGUGUAAGAGAGAGAGAGAGAAUGAGAAUGAAUCAAUUUCGAGCAUUCCUCCUAAUCAUCUUCUUGUUUUUCUUCGUCUUCAGUAUCUGUUUAGGGCUCUAUACGGACCAUCAUUGCCAGUUCUUCAGCUAACUCCUUCCAACUUCAAGUCCAAGGUAAAUGUUGAAACUUUACCAGUAAUUGGGUGUACCAUUUUCAGAUUCUUUAGUUUUUUGCAUUAAAUCUAUUGGAAUUUGUCACCGUUUGGAUUGAAAAGCAAUUGGGCUUCAAUUUCGAACACGUUUUACUCAUUCAUAUGGAUGUUAAGUUUUAAUUUGUUUUUACUUUCUCCGGUCCAUUUUUCAUUUGGCAUGCCCUGCUAUUUGGAUGCCCUGCCAUUUUUCAUUUUUCAAUCCGGCAAAUAUUUUCAUUUUUGCAUGCCCUGCUAUUUGGCAGCAAAUAUUUUUCUCUUUCCAUGCCCUGCAACGAUUGUGAAGACUUGGUUAGUGUGUGUGAUACUUAAUUUUGGCAAUUUGAUUUUGUAUUCAGGUCAGAUUUUAAAGCAGCUAUCAGAGAUAACUAGCAGGUAGGUUCUAACUUCUAAGUUUAAACAAGAGCUCAAUAACAAACAGGUCAGAUUUUGCACUCUGUCAAUAUAUGUAAUGUGAUAUAUAUAAUGUGGUAUAUAUGUGCACUCUCUGUCAAUAUAUGUAAUGUGAUAUAUAUAAUGCGGUAUAUAUGUGCACUCUCUGUCAAUAUAUGUAAUAUGAUAUAUAUGUGCACUUUGUGAUAUAUUGUUUGUAUUGAAAAAUAUUACAUCUCAAUGACUUGAUUUUAUUUAAGUGGAUGAAAAUAACCUAAUUGUAAAUAUAAGUAGUAGUGGCACAUAAACAUUGCACCAUAUUUGAAUGAUUAACAAACACUGGGGGAAGCAUCUGCCAUCUGGGAUUAAUUUCAAGGUCACAAAAUAUCCUGUAUAUUUCCCCACAAAUGAAUAACGAUGCCAGCUGAGUUUAUAUACACUUUUAUAUAUGUGCACUCUGUCAAUAUAUGUAAUCUGAUAUACAUGUGUUUAUGGAUUAAUUUAUGGAUCAGUUUAUGGAUCAGUUUAUUUAUGGAUUAGUAUAUGAAUAUUAUAUAUAUGUUGAACUGUGUUGUGAUAUAUUAUUGUGCAUUGUCAGGAUAAAGGAAAGGAACUAAAGGAAGAGGCCAUUCAUCAACAAGUGGAAGAGGCUGAAGGGGCUAAAGGAAAGGAACUACGUUUAUAAACUAUGUUUUGGUUGCAUGCACUUUCUUGCUUAUAAACUAUUUAACUAUGUUUUUCUUUUGGUUUGUAAUUUAAUCUAAAUUCAUUCGGAAGUUUGGUUUGUAAAACUUAACUUAUUUCAUUUUGGUUGCAUGCACUUUUAAUUAACUAGUUUGUUAGACAAUUGUGAACUUAAGCUUAACUUGUUAGUUGUUGCUUCCUUGGUAUGAAAAUUGAAACAGGUAUGGUAUUGUGAAUCUGUGAUAUUGUGAUGAAUUUGAAACAGGUGGGCUCUGCAGCCUGUGCUUGUGCGGGCAGUGGCUGGUUACAACUGCCAAUUGUAACCCUUUUUUUUUUUUUUUUUUUAUUUAUGAAAAAAGGGUGGGCUUUCCCUUUAAAGGGUGGGCUUACUCUUUAAAAGCCCAACAUUUUGGGCUUCAAAUUGUAAAAAGCUUAAAAUUGUAAAAAGUUAUAAAAGCCCAACAUUUUGGGCUUCAAGGCCCAAUCCCGAAGUUUCCCGAAAAUCCCGAAACACUUUCGGGAAUCCCGAAUUUCGGGAUUCCAAUAAUUUUGGUUCGGUUUCGGGAUAUAAAAUCCCAUCCCGAAAUGUUUUGGUUUGGGAAUCAGGUUCGGGGUUUCGGUUCGGGAUCCCGACCCGAACCAGCCCUAAAUGAAACAUCCACAAAUCAACACCUUACGGAGAUCGAAUCAGAGGAUCAAAAUAGAGAGAGAUUGUAACCCAAAAUCAUCAAAUACAAAUAUUAUUUUGUGCACGUUGUUCUUGUCUCUUUCGUUUCAGGGAAAUUUCGUUUUUACAAAUUAGCACGCCCAGUGGGACAAUCUCUACCUCUCAUCUCUUUCUCCGUUCAAGAAAUUCGAGCACACUUCCAAAAUUAAUGGCAUCAAGGAAGGCUCAAACUGUUCCCGCAACUGGCGCAAAGAAUAAGAGUGUCCUCGUCGCAAGUGGUGUCACUUUAGGCAUCACGACUCGAAGCAAGGCAAGAGCUACUUCUGCCGCCUCUUUCACCUCUGCAUCAACUCUGCAAAGGGAACAAGAGCACCCAAGGCACGAGCCUUUGAUCACCUUAGCCUCACCAAGGGCACCAAGGGGCGAAAGUCCAAGGAAAUACUCUGAAUCCAUGCUCUCCGAUGCCGAUUCGAGCGGCAGUUUAGCCAUGCAAGUCAUGACCAUUGGAGCAACUUCAAUCGAUGAGCAGUUGGCUCAAAUGAAUGAAGCAAUCGCAAGGCUAACCUGAACUGUGGAAGAAAAAGACUUGCAAAUCGCUGCACUCGUCAGCCGACUGGAGCCACAGGACGGCGAGAACCCUAACCUAGAAAAUGAGCCUACGGUGGAGAGAAUCGAUGCGAAGCCAGAGCCAGACCAAGCAGCGGCACUUAUGGGAUCUCUUUCUAUCCAACAGCUGCAAGAGAUGAUCACCAACACCAUCAAGACACAGUACGAAGGGAGCUCAAAUACCUCCGGGUUGUACUCGAAGCCGUAUUCAAAGAAGAUCGACGCCUUAAGGAUGCCGAGGGGUUAUCAACCGCCAAAGUUCAUGCAAUUUGAUGGAAAAGGAAACCCGAAACAACACGUUGCCCACUUUGUUGAAACUUGCAACAACGCAGGGACCGAAGGGGACUACCUCGUCAAGCAGUUUGUGCGCUCGUUGAAAGGAAACACCUUUGAGUGGUACACGGACCUAGAGCUUGAGUCCAUCAACAGCUGGGAGCAAUUGGAGCAGGAAUUCCUCAACCGCUUCUACAACACUCGCCGCACUGUGAGCAUGCUAGAGCUAACAAGCACAAAGCAAUGGAAAGAUGAGCCGGUAUUGACUACAUCAACAGAUGGCGCACUCUAAGCCUCGACUGCAAAGACAGGCUCUCGAAGACUUCUUCAAUCGAGAUGUGUGUCCAAGGUAUACAAUGGGGUUUGCAAUACAUCCUUCAAGGCAUUAAACCACGGACCUUCGAAGAGCUAGCCACCCGCGCCCAUGACAUGGAGUUAAGCAUCGCUCAUCAUGGGAAGAAAUAACCGAUCUCUGACUACAAGAUUGACAAAGUUCUUAAGACAAAGGUGGAGAAGGCUGCGUGUAAAUCCACCAAGGAAGCAAUGACGGUCAACACAACUCCCGUCAAAAUCCUUACACGAGGCAAGGCUAUUCAAACCGAAGCUUUUCAUGAUCAAGAGAUGCGUAGACGCAAUUUGAAGGAGCUUGAGGAGAAGACUUAUCCAUUCCUCGACUCUGAUGUGGUUGCCAUGCUGGAUGACUUGUUGGACAAGAAGGUGAUCGGUUUGCCUGAGUGCAAACGGCCGGAAGAGAUGAAUCGUACCGACAGUCUAAGAUACUGUAAAUUCCACCGCUUCAUCAGUCAUCCGACAGAAAAAUGCUUCGUGCUGAAAGAUCUCAUCAUGAAGCUGGCUCAGAAAGGAAUCAUCGAGCUAGAUCUUGACGAUGUUGUGAAGUCAAACUAUACCACCAUCACUUCUGGCUAUUCCAACUCAAGGUUUUUACCUCAACCGCUGGGGGCAUCCUCCAAGACAAGCAAAGUUAAAGGAUGGACUCAAGUCACUCCUAAAAAAUUGCACAAGAAGCAUACGUCUCCUCCACAAGUCCGCCAAUCGGAAAGGGGGCAAAGCAACUCUUGUCAACCUUCAAAGCAACAUGAACGUGUUGAAGAUGAUGAAAUUUCGACACAUAGAUCGUCUAUCCCCAUCACGAUGCGCGAUUUCUUUCCUGAAGACUUCUUCAAUCACUCUGUCAAGACUCCUUGCUAUGAAAAUUGCAAGGAAAGCCUCUCCAGGAUCGUUUAACAAAUUCACAAUGCUCCUUGUCCGCACGAGCCUAAACUGUAGGACACGAAGCUCCUCGCCUGCACGAGCCUAAACUGCAUGGCACAACGCUCCUUGUUCGCAUGAGCAUAAAAAGCGACAACAAAUGCUCCUGGUCUGCAUGAGCAUAAAAGGCGACAACCAACGCUCCUUGCCUGCACGAGCUAAAACUGCAAACGGCACCAAAUUCUCCUUGCCUGCACGAGUUAAAACUGCAAACGGCACAAAAAGAAAAUACCCAAAAAAAUAUGUAUGCAUUUGAACUACGUUAUGACUUGAUUUCUUCUUUGGAAGGGUACGUAGGCAACUCGAACGUUCAACUUCGAGUACAGUCAUGUCAAAACAAAAAAAAAUAAAUUAAUUAAUUAAUUAAGGUCUUAUUAAAUGCUUGACUAUUGAGAGUCAAUUUUAUUACAAAUUAAAAAAAACAAUAUUCUUUGUAUUAAAAAAAAAAAUAUAUAUAUAUAUAUAUAUAUGUAUGUAUACAUGAUAAAGUGGGUCUUCUUGCACUUAAGACCCGUGCCAAAUCAAAGAAACACAAGUUGGAGUCCACAGAAAGAAGCAGCCCAAAUCCAAGCCCAAGCCUUCCUCCAUUUCACAGAGUCCAUGCUAGAUGAAGCUUUUGAAAAUGGGUGUGCAGAGAGAUUCGAAGCUCGACCUCAUCACUCACAACCGCUUCCAUCCCUGCCUUCACUCUCGCACCCAUUCCAUCAAUCCGGUUUUCUUUCAAGUCGGCAUCGAGAUCCUUCGUAGUUCCCUUACUCAUCGCCCAGUCUCUCUGCCAUCUCCCGCAGCACCGCGAAGCCGCUCGUCGACCCAAGAGACGAUGGCUUCCGACUCAAAGUCUGCUUCAUACUCGACCUUCCUUUCAAUUUUCUUCAUCCCCUCCAUUGAAGAAGCAGCAGCCAUGCCGCUGCCAGAGGCGUUGAAGUCCAACGACGAUUUGGACUCUCCUGUGAUUUCGCACCUGUAAAACCUUUCAUGGAGCUCCGUCUCCCACCACAGUCGGGGCUUUGGAUCCAUAGUCUCCUUAGCCAACUCCAACCUCUCGCCAACUCCGGCCGCGAUCCGAAGUCGAUGAUCGUUCAGAUUCUCGAGCAAAAGGAGGGGCUAAGCAGUUUGUAUAAAGAAGCAAUGGAUGCAUCGAGGUUGCUGGUGGUUUAAAGGGUUUCAAACCAGAAGGUCCCCAUGGAUGGUUUUCUCAACAGAAGCAAUUCGAUGAUUCGGCAUCGUUUCUCUCAGCCCUUCGAAACCAUAAACCCAAACUCCACCUGCUACACAUGGUGUGCACGCCCAUGUUCAACAAUCUUGUCCCGCCGCUUUCAACGUAUCGCAAGAGUUUUACAACGCCACUCCCACCUAUGCUCUGACCUUGCAUGCUGCACUUGAUUGGCGUUAUGCACUUGCUCAUGCUGGUGCCGUACGACGUCGUCAACUCGCCAAAGACAUCGAAAUUUCGGUAAAUAAAUGUUGACCGAUAAAUCAAAGUUUCAACGCUCAUGUAUUACAUAAAUUUUACACGUAGCGUGUGUCUAAACAAAAAAUUGAGAAUCAUCGGAAAAGUCAUCAAACAUGACACAUGUCAACACCUGGCAGAAACGACUUAUUUCAUCUGGAAUAUUAUAUUCAAAAUUAGGCCUUGAAAAAUUCUAUAAAUAAAAGCCAAUUUCAUUCAUUUGAGGGGACCAAAAAAUCAUUAGGCAAAACUCUUGAAGCUUUGAAGCUCUGAAACUCCGAAGCUCUCAAGUAUCCAGGUUCCCGAAGAAUCAAGAAAGCUCUCUUCGUUCUUCGUUCUUCGUUCAUCGUUCAUCCUAAGAUCAAGCCCCAACGGCCCUUUGGAUCAACAAUCAUCCACCUAUUCAAGAUCAAGCCCCGACGGCCCUUGAAGAAAGUGUUCUUCGUUCUUCGUUCAUCCUUCUUCCAAGAUCAAGCCCCGACGGCCCUUGAAUCAACAAGCCACCGUUCUUCAGGAUCAAGCCCAAAAGCCCUUGAAGAUCCGUUCAUCACUGUUCUUCAAGAUCAAGCCCAAAAGCCCCUUGAAAGAUCCGUUCAUCACUGUUAUUCAAGAUCAAGCCCAAAAGCCCUUGAAGAUCCACUCAUCACCGUUAUUCAAGAUCAAGCCUCAACGACCCUUGAAGAAACACUCAUCCUCAAGAUCAACCCCCAACGGCUCCUUGAAGAAACUUCCAAUAGUUCAUCCAAAAUCAAGCCUCGACGGUCCUUGGAUCAACAAGCCACCGUUCUUCAAGAUCAAGCCCAAAAGCCUUUGAAGAUCCGUUCAUCAUUGUUCUUCAAGAUCAAGCCCAAAAGCCCCUUGAAAGAUCCGUUCAUCACUGUUAUUCAAGAUCAAGCCCAAAAGCCCUUGAAGAUCCACUCAUCACCGUUAUUUAAGAUCAAGCCUCAACGGCCCUUGAAGAAACACUCAUCCUCAAGAUCAAGCCCCAACGGCUCCUUGAAGAAACUUCUAACAGUUCAUCCAAAAUCAAGCCUCGAUGGUCCUUGGAUCAACGAAACAUCCACAAAUCAACACCUUACGGAGAUCGAAUCAGAGGAUCAAAAUAGAGAGAGAUUGUAACCCAAAAUCAUCAAAUACAAAUAUUAUUUUGUGCACGUUGUUCUUGUCGCUUUCGUUUUAGGAAAAUUUCGUGUUUACAGGCAUAUAUGCUUAAUGUGUUUUUAAAUUUUGGACUUGUUGGAUACUCUUUUUGCAUUUUAUCAUUCUUUUAUUAUCUUAUCCAUAGAUUUCAUACAAGUAUAAUUUUUUGUAAGUGUCAAUAUGCACUUAUUUACAAGAUAUACAAGAAAAUUACCUAAAUCCGCAUAGGCCGCCUAGCCGCCUAGGCGCUAGGCGCUAGCCCACAUCUCGACUAGCGCCUAGCGUUUUUUAGAAUCUUGAUAAAAAUUAACAAGUGUGUGUAGGAAGUAAAGUGGGAUGUGUGAAUUACAUUGGGAGAAAUUAGAUUCACAUCCUUCUUUUUGCUACUCCAUUGGUUAAAACAUUAUUCCUUUUUAAUUUUUAAUCAAGGUCUUUGGAUAUUAAUAAUAUCAUUAAUUAUUUCAAUAAUAAUUUUUUUAAAUAUAUUCCUUUAGUGUUAAAAAUGUUACAAUUAAUAUAUUUAUAUUUAUGGUUAAAAUUUUUAUCAUAUAUUUUUAUUUUUAGUUUGUAACCAGUUUUAAUUUGCAAACCUUUUUCAAUUUGUACCAAUUUUCUUUUCAGUUUCAAUUUGUACCCAUAUAUUAAUUUCUUUUUGUGCCCAUAUUUUUUAAUGCUUUAUUUGUAUUUGUGUCCAUUUGUUUACCAUCAUGUGACAUUGUAUAAUUAAUCAAUGAUAGAAAAAAAGGAAAAUUAAUGAAAAUGGUUUGAAAACUUUGAGUUUUAACGAUAAGGACAAAAUAAAGGGUAAAGCGAAUAAUAUCAUGAUUGACUUUUUAGUGAAAAAAUAUGGUUUUUCGUUAAAGUGAACAGUACCGGAAGCUUUUCGUUAAAGUUUCGUAGAAAAAAUUACAUAUGUUAUAUUUAUGUUUUAUGUUUUAUGACAUAACUAUUUGUAGACAGGCAUCAAUAUAAAAUUAUUCUGCAAUAUAAUUUCUAAAAAGUGAUAGAGACGAGUGUAAAGGGAACAAGUGCAUCGCAUUUCUUCUACAUGCGUAAGAAGAGAUGCUCUUGAUUAAUUGAUUCAUGAGUUAACUUUUGAAGUCGUCUUCAACUUUUGAAAUUGUGUGAAAUCAGAAGUUAGAAAAAUGAGCAGCACCGUACAAGAAACAAGGCUUGAUGACGCAGCACUAGUGUAGAAGGAUUAAAAAUAUAAAUCCUUGAAGAAACAAAGUUUUUGGAACCCACCAGUUUGAUAGAAACUCUAAAAAGAUAAUUUGAUUAAUUGAUGAGUUGGUGAUUACACACCCAUGACUUAAAUAAGUCAUUUACAACAUUUUUGGACAACUCAAAAGGCUUAGAGAAUUAAAACGAAAGUAAAUGACAUUAAUCCAACGACAAUUGAAAAGUCUGAAACUUAUUACAAACUUUAAUUUUUGGUUUUGGAAGCCUAAUUCCUCUUAAACACGACGGGCUCAUGAUAUCAUUCCUCUUGUUCUACUCGCGAUUCUCUUCAAAACGAUAUAUUAUAUGCCUAAUUAUGACACCGGAAUAUUUCUUGUUGUCGUUUAUGUCGUCAUAUUUAUUGAAUUCAAUAUUUUCCAAUUUUAUUUCUUCUUCUCUUGAAACAUUUUAUUUUAUUUAUAUUUCUUGAUAGGAAGUGACUCAUAUCUUGUCUUACAUCACUUGACUUGACCUCAACCAUUUGAUCUUCGACCUCAAGAUCCAGAAUAAUGGAGUGUGUAAAAAAUAAAUAAAUAAAGGGAAGAGAAAAAGAAGUACAAACCGGUUACAAAACUCUGCUAAAAUUGCUACAUAACGCAAAAUGACUACAUCUUAUCAAAAACUUAACACCAGCCAAGUUACAUGGUGUAUUUAUAAAGACCCAAUUCUUAACAAACAUGAAAGCAAUCGUAAACCCUCCUAAAUAAUAGGAAAGUAACCUAAGAUCAUGUGGCACAGAAGGAUUUGAGAGUAGUAUAGAUUGACUGAAUAGUACUCCUUUUCUUAAAGUCGACAAGACUGAACAAAUAAUGAAUGCAACCAAAUAUAGUAAUUAGGUUUUAAUUCGACCGGUGGAGUGGAUACUGGUCUAUGUGUGGAACUUGUGCUUUGUUUUUGGUCUAUGUUGAUUUUUUCAAACUGCAAGUUCUUUUCUCAUCAGAAAAGAAAUAUCUCAUUACUCAUCCCCAACUACAGAUGUCUCUAGGAAGUGUAGGUAUUCUUGUUGACGUCAAAUAGGAGAGAAACGGCAUUCACUAGUCUUACUUGGUUGAUAUGACUCUUCGACACUUGGUACACCCGAUUCUUCUACACUUAAUGGAUUUCUGUUUAAGAAGUUGAGGUUCCACCAUAAUAUCGUAGUAGUCACAUGCACUCCACGUCGCUCCGUUGUUUGUCCAUAUGUUAGGCUUGAAAUUUUUUCCGCAAAAAACAGAAGAAAAAAAAAGUUAAUUUUUGCAUAUAUGUAACACAUUUAUAGUUGAUCUCAUGAGUUCCUUCCGUAAGGGUUUAUGAUAUUUGUAUUGACACUCUUGUAAGGUUUUAUCAUAUUUAUAUGGCUAAUUGCAAGACUUAUCAACUUCACAUUUGGGUACUUCUAAAUGUGUUGGACCUUCAUGCUUGAAAUCUUGAUUCAAAAAUAUGUAAUUUGUAUUGGAAUGAAAAAUUAAACAAAAAAAAAAAAAACAAUGUUAAUGGGUGACUCAUGAGCUUAACAGGUUAAGUUUGGAUGACUUAUUAGCUUAACGAGUCGGGGAUGACUCAUUAGCUUAACGGGUCAGGUGAAACAUGACCUAAACCCAAUAAACCGAACCCGUUUACAGGUUACCAGUAGAUAGUAAAGGGGAUGAGAGUUUCAGACUCUCAGCAUCAAAUUAUUAGUCAUCAGUUUCAAUUCCUGCAUUGGCUUGAAGUGCAAUGGAUUUGAGGCCCGAAAUUUUUAUUCGAUACCCAAUUUCUUCAUCAUUUUAGGACUUUCAAACUCCUAACAUCUAUUAAGUCAAGAGUGCGGUGUAACGAAAUUUAUCAUGUUGGAUUUAGUCUAUGUUGCAUUUUUCAAACUACAAGUCCUUUUCUUGAGAAAAGGAAUAUCUCAUUAACUCAAGAGAAAGCAAGGAAGAGGAGAAAUACUUCGAGUUGGAGUUGAGGCUCCAAACAUAGGAAAACUGUAGAAAAACGUAUUUGACUCAAUUGUACUUUUCAUUCAUUCUCAAACUGUAGAAAAACGUAUUUACUCUUUUAUAUAAUGAGCCUAAUGCUGAAACGUUAAUGAAUCCAUGUAGAAGAUUUAAUAAGCCUAAUUGUUCAUUGAACCUAAUUAACUAACAUUCCCUCUCAAGUUAGAGAGUGAAGAUCCACAACUCCCAACUUCCGUAUCAUAAUCGAAAAUUUUAAAUUUCGUCAGGUAAAAGCUUAAGCAUUGAAAACUUACUUUUACCUGACGAAACGGUUUCGUCUAAAAUGGUGUUUUCUUGUAGUGAUAUCAAGUAACUCCAUAACAAUAAUCUUUUGAAUUUUUGCACUCUUAGCUAUGUAUGGAAGUACAAAGUGACACAACUAUUUAUAGACGGGUAAUGCUUGACAAAGGAAUACGUAUAGGGUGGACUAAUAUAUAUAAAAUAUAUAUGUGUGUGUCCAUAAAUUCCUUACCACAUCAACCUUGACCCAUUGGAAUCUAUAAAUUUGAAUCUAAAUUCCCAUGGCUAAACCAAAUUCUUUACAAACACUUAUCAGCUGCUAAUUAUUAAACUGACCAACUAUGAUUAGUGUGAUGAGCUGAAGGAUACAAAAUAUGUGUUAUAUAAUUAUGGUUGUUUAGUAAAACUAUAACACAGCUAAUGUUUCUCUCGCCUAUCUUUUCUCACAAUCUAAUAAGUGGACUAAAUGAUUUAAGCAGUUAGUGAAAGAACAUAUGUAGCUUGUAAUUUGACUAAUUUACCCAUGUUCGGAGAAAUUUCACAGGCCUUUGUAAGAUUUCACUUUAACAAAGAGAGCUCCAAUAACCUUCUAAAACAUUUAAGCAAAGCACAUAUCACAAAAAAUGAACCUGAAUGGGGAAGAUCAUCAUAAGCUAAUAUGGACCAUGUAUAAAAGAGAUAAAUAGGAAUUAAGGAUGUGUGAAUGGAUACCAAGCAACUAAAAAGCUUCUAAUGGGUCUUUUCCUUCAAAUAAUGAUUGAUAAGAAACAACCAUUCUUCAUGAGGAAGCAGGUAAUGUAUUGUGCACCCUAAUCUAUUGUCCUAACAACCAUAAUACAUAGAAAUUUGUGGUGCUCCACUGCACGUAUGCAGCAGGCUUUUAAGCAUAUCAAUAUUUGCAUAAGAAGAACCAACAAACAGAGAGACGAAACACCUAAAUUUAGAACGAUUGGUUUUAGGGUGGAAUUCUAAUUUUUUUCAUGGUACAGAGCAUGUCGUCCCACGUGUGAAGCCAAAUGGCCACACGCAUUUCACGUUAUCCUGUUGUGUGUUCACGUGUUAGGCUUGAAAAUUCACCACACAUGAAAGAGUGUGUUGAGAAUGAGUUCCACGUCAAUGAGAGGAGGGACCUUGCAUGAGCUUAUAGGAAAUUAAGUUAUUCCUCGUAUUACCAAUUGAUUUUAUAGUAAAACCUCACAUUUUUUUCAAAAUGAAAGCUUAACAAAAAAAAAAAAAGGGAUAAAAAACACCUAAAUUUACAGAGAUAAUUUAAAACAUGUAAAUAAGAAAUUGAAAAGUAAUCUGCAAUUUGGUUUCUUCAGAAGCAAUGAGAAAAAGAAAACGGGAGAAUGAGACCAACACAGAGAAGAAAACAUCCUUUUUACCCCUAAGUUGUGCGCGACGUCCUACUUCCUUCCCUUCUUCGUUUUGGCAGCCUUCCCCUUCAUUCCUUUCAUUCUUCGUAUUUUCUCCCCCGCGCUGUCUCACUUUCAGAGUCUGUAAGACUCACUCACGACUCAGCAGCUGUUCAGCCUGACUUGUGCCUCAUCUCAGCCUCACUCAGUCCUUCCUCGACGUCGACCACUCGCCCACCUCACACACCCUCGCGGCCCACAAGCUUCCUCUCGCCGUUUCGAGUCUCGACAGCCCACCGUGAUUCCUCGAUUCCAAAAGGUUAGUCUUUGUGCUGGAUUAAAAUUUGGAUCCACAACUAUAGUUGGUCUUUCUGCUGAUUAAAAUUUGGGUCACAACUGUGUUUUUUACGAUUAGGGAUUUGAAUUGGAAACCUUAUCUGUCAUUUCUGCUUUGACAGUUUUGUUUCUCUAUUUGUAAAUAUGAAUUCAUCACGCAAAAACACAAAAUGGUUUUGUUAUUUCCCAUUAAUUUUCUUGUUAAAAUAUGUCAAUAAUAUGAAGAGAGUUUUAAUGAAAAAUAUGUGGUACCGUUUACUUUAAUGAAAAAUUACAUUUUUACAUUAAAAAAUCAAAUAUAGAACUAUUCACUUUACCUUUUAUUUUGUUCUUAAUGUUAAAACUCAAAAUUUUCAAACCAUUUUUAUUAAUUUUCUUAAUAUGAAAGGUUUUGUUAUUCGCCAAUGUGGGACUUUCGCCUUCACCUCUUCACGUGUACCAAUCACUUGUUUUUUCCCCAUUAAUUUUCUUGUUAAAAUAUGUGAAUAAUUUUGAAAAAUGGUACAUAAAAGUACUCUUAUAAAGUUAUAAUAUCCUUCACAUGAAAAGGUUUUUUUGCAAGAAUAAAAGGUUUAUUGUCCUUUGCACGACAAAAGAGAAAUUAAGUCACAAUGAGCAAGAAAAUUAUUGAGAAGAAUAUAUAAGAUAGAUAUUUAUAUUAAUGAUAACAUUAUUAUUUCAUCAAUGAUGUAACACAAGUUUUAGGGCUAACAACUUUGAUGUUUUCUGUUUCUGCGCUUCAAGUCCACCAGCCCUUUUGCAUUUGUUGCCUAUUGCACAACUGAUGUAUUCAGUUUACAAGUUGUUCCUACAAAACCAGUUCCCUUGUAAUCAACGAUUCUCAUUCAUUCCCUCCGAUGAUUGGAACAAAAUGUAGUACAAAUUUCGUAGCUCUGGUUUUAGAAUUUUAGACAAUUCUUGCUAUAAACAUUACUCUUAAAUAAGUAUUCUUAGUUACUAAGGCAUAGGAAAGUUUCGAUUUCAUUUGAUUGAAAAGAUUGUCUCCAAUUAAUCGAAUGAAUAAGAAUCCUUUCAAAUGAACAUAGCUGCUUUCAUUCUAAUUUUAGAAAAUCCAAAUCCAUGAAAACAUGCAGCACUCUACUACCUUUAUUUACAUUACUUUCUAUCUCCAUUUAGUUGUUAAAGAAGCCCGACAGUACAAGCAAAUUGAUAUAACUUAAAAACAAUAUGAUAUAUAGGGCUGAGUCUUGAACUUGAACAACACAAUCAACUAAAAGCUAAAAAGCACCAAUACCUUCUAUCUUUUUUUCUUUAAAGAAACCUCGACGGUACGAGGGAAAAUUAUUUGAAUAAAAAAAAAAGUUACACCUAGUCUGGGGGACAUAAACCUUACCCUUCAAAAUAAAGAAACCGAAAGUACAAGAAAAUAGGAGGGACAUACACUUACAUAACCUGACACAAACUUAUAACUAAACAUAUAGAAAGUGAAGAAAAGAAACCACAACAGAGAAAACAAACGACAACAAGAAAUGCGUAACGGUAACAAACUGAAUUUCUACUUCCCCCACUAGUACUCUAAAUUUUCCUUAUCAUUUGCCUGAUCAUUCCAACAAUCUUAAGAAACAAGUCGGGCCUCCUUGUGAUCACAACAUCCGCAAGAACUACUCCCACUACCAACCCACUUCCACAUCCGGCCGAAACAAUUUUCCAAUCCAAUUCAAAUAUGCCUUCUGAGCUAGAAUCACCUUCGUCGAUGGUUGAAGGUGGAAGUUCAGGGGCCUUAGGAUCUCCACAUUUCUUUGGCAAUGGAUCUCCACACAACCCUGGGUUUCCCUCGUAUGAAGUGACAUUCAAAGAAGUAAGCUGGGUUCCUUGUGGUAUAGAACCUGUGAGAUUGUUGUGAGACACAUUGAAACUGGAAAGAAAAUUAAGUUGCACCAGCUGUUGGGGGAUACGUCCUGAGAGCUUGUUUUGUGAAAGGUCCAACGAUUCAAGCUUCAUCAAGUUUCCAAAGGAUGAUGGGAUAGAACCAGUGAGAAAGUUGUGGGAUAGAUUCAGCGAACGAAGCUCCUUAAGAUUCCCGAUGAAUUCUGGAAUUUUCCCUUCAAAUUUGUUGCAUGAGAUAUCGAAGGAUGCGAAUUCUUCUCGAAUCUUUGGGUAGUGUUGCUCCAAGCCUUUUGUUGCUAUAGUGAGUUGGUAAUCAACACUGUUAACAAUCGUGAAUCCAUUGACAUCAUAAACUACGUCUGUGUACAUAUAUGUUGACUUGUUUACAGUAAUAUCUGGAAACACAGAUGGAACCGCACCAGUAAAAUCAUUGUAAGCCAAAUCAAGAAUGCGUAACUUAGGGAAAUCGACAUUCUUUCUAGACUUUCCAAUCACACCGUGGAAUCCAUUAUGGCGCAUUGCCAAAAGUUUUAGCUCUAGAAGAGUCCCCAACCAAAUGGGGAAAACAUCAUUGAAUCGAUUGUUUGACAAAACAAGAUACUCAAGCAUUAUACAAUUGACCAAUGACCUCGGCAACUGCCCCUGCAACUUGUUAUGACUCACAUCAAUCAUUCUCAACUUGCUUCCUUUGUUGUAUGUCUGAGGAAUAAUUCCGUGAAAAGAGUUGUUUCCAAGAAGUAAAAGAAUCAGAUCAUCACUAAAGUUUCCGAGACAUUGAGGAAGCAUGCCACUCAAGUUAUUUUUCGACAAGUCAAGAUACUGAAGAUUUUUCACAUUGCAAAGCGACGGUGAGAUUUCUCCAGUAAAGUUGUUGUCUGCAGCUGCAUAUUCUCGCAUGGUUGGUGGAGGUAUCGGUAGUGAUCCAUGAAACAUGUUGGCCGAAAACCUUAUACAUAACAGUUUCACCCAAGGAAGGACAAGUGGAGGUUGGUCUGAAAUGAAGUUACUAGAAAUGUCUAACAAUAGCAAAGUUUCUAUGCUUGUGUUCCACAUCCAUUUUGGUACUUGGCCUCGGAUUUUGUUUCUAGAAAGGUCCAAACGCUCCAAACGUUUCUGAUAUUGUAAGAAAGAUGGAAACUCUCUUAUGUUGCAAAAACUCAAUCCUAGAAUGGUGAACUGCGGAACUGUUGAAUUCACAAUUCUCGAUUCAGUGACAAAAUCUAUACUGUUCCAAUUUAAUUGGAGUUGGUAAAGAAAUUGUAGAUUUUGAAACAUUUGAAACUCUACUACACCACUCAGACAAUUGGAAUGUAGAUAAAGGAUCUGAAGGUUUGUGAGAUUGGAAAAUGACGCAGGAAUUGAACCAUUCAGUUCAUUAAAAGCAAAAUCUAGGUACUCUAGUUUGCUAAAGUUGCCUAGCCAAGAUGGGAUUGGACCAGUUAAUCGAUUCAUAGUGCUACUAAUCCUAAAAGUAGCCAGUUGGGUAAGGUUUGCCAAGGAAUCAGGAAUUGGACCUCCAAAUCUGUUGUUUGAAAUGUCUAGAUAAGUGAGCUUCCUAAGAUUCCCAAGUGCAGAUGGAACCAACCCUUCCGAAAAAUUGCAUUGAGCCACAUCCAACUCUUGCAGUGAAUCAAGGUUUCCAAACGAAGAGGGUAUGUUCCCGAAAAACCUGGUAUAGGAAACUUUCAGAAGCAUGAGAGGACUACUUCGAUUAAAUUCAGGAAAAUAUCCAGUCAGAUCUUGGUUGUAUCUCACACUAAGAAAUUCUAGGUUUGGUAGUUGGAAAAUUCUCACAGGAAAUUCACCAAACAGGUGACAGUCUUUGAGGGAGAGGGAUGUCAAUGAUGAUAAAUUAGCCAUUGAAUGAGGAAUUGCCGAAGAUACAUUUACGAAACUGAGAGUAAGUACUUCGAGACUGGUUAAGUUUUGAACUAGGCUUCCAAGAUCUGAUGCUUCAAGUUUCAACAAGGGAUAAUUCUCCUCUUUUGACAACUGAUGAUCCUUAUCUUCUGACAAUCUAUCGAGAUUGAGAGCUAGAUUAAGGUAUGUCAACUUGGAUAACAGUGAAAGUUCAGAAGGGACUCGACCAGAAAAGACAGAGGUAGAGAGGUCAAGAUGAGUAAGGCUUGGAAAAUUCCUAAUGCUAGUAGGAAUUUGAGAGUAAUUGAAGUUAUUGUCAGAGAGGUUUAACCUUUGAAGAUGAACAAGGCGGAAGAGGCUGCUAUUGCUGUUGAUAGAGCCGUGGAGACAGCUGCUACGAAGAUCUAGGCCAAUCACAUGACCCGUCUUCUCAUCACACUUGACACCUUCCCAUAAGGAGCAGGUGCUAUUUCCUCCUUCAGCUGGUUUCCAUGAUGAGACCUUCGGAUAAGCAUCGGUAGAUCUAGAAGCAGAUUUGUCAAUCGUAAAGCUGUCUUUGAAUUGCAGCAGGGCGGACUUCUCCUCAUCAGGGCAAGAUGGAUACUGCUUCUGCGAAGAGUAGGAAGAGUUAGCAAUAACCACAUGAUGAAACAGCAACAAAACUAGUACUAGUUUUGAAACCAUGCGAAUGAUGGAGAUAUCAAGUAACCCCAUAACAACAAUCUUUUGAAUUUUUUUUGCACUCUUAGCUGUGUAUGAUGGAAGUGCAGAGUGAUAUACAACAAUUUAUAGACUGGCAUCGAUUAGUAUAAAAUUCUUCCACAAUAUAAUUUCUCAAAAGUGAUAGAGACGGGUGUAGAAGGGACAAGUUGAUAUGAUGCCUUGACUAAUUGAUGAGAAAAAUCAAAAGUUAGAAAAAUCAGCAACACCAUUCAAGAAACAAGUCGACUUGAUGAGAAAAAGAAAGGGGUGUGAUGUUCACACACCCUAUUUUACUUCUCACACACCCUUUUAAUUUUCUACCGUCAAAUUAGAUGAAUUGAAGAAGAUCAACGAACAAAAAUUAACAAGGGAUGUGUGAGAAGUAAUAUGGGAUGUGUGGAUAGCACACCCAAAAGAAAUACAAACCAAUCACAAACUUUGCCAAGAUGGUUACGAAAGGCAAAAAGAGUGCAUCGUACCAAACUUAACUCCAGCCAAGUUACAUGGUGUAUUUAUAAAGAUACAAUUCUUAACAAACAUGAAAGCAAUCGCAAACGAUCCUGAAUAAUAGGUAUUCUUGUCGACGUUGAGUAGGAGAGAAACGUCCUCCAACUUUGCAUUUGGAUAGUUCUAAAUGUGUUGGACCUUCAUGCUUGAAAUCUUGAUUAAAAUAUGUGUAAUUUGUAUUGGAAUGCAAAAUUAAACAAAACAAAAAAAAAUGUUAACGGAUGACUCAUGAGUUUAAUAGGUUGAGUUUGGGUAACUCAUUAGCUUAACGAGUCGGGUGUGGGUGACUCGUUAGCUUAAAGGGUCAGGUGAAACCCGUCUCAAACCCAAUAAACCCAACUCGUUUACAGGUUACCAGCAGAUAAUAAGGGGUAUGAAAGUUUCGGACUCUCAGCAGCAAAUUAAGGCAUUAGAGUCAUCAAAUUCAAUUCCUGCAUUGGCUUGAAGUGGGAUGGAUUUGAAGCCAAAACUUUUUAUUCAAUAUCCAAUUUCUUCAUCAUUAGGACUUUCAAACUCCUAGCAUUUAUUAAGUCAAGAGUGUGGGUGUAACGAAAUUUUUCAUGUUGGAUUUGAUCUAUGUUGCAUUUUUCAAACUGCAAGCCCUUUUGUCAUCAGAAAAGAAAUAUCUCAUUAACUCAAGAGAAGGCAAGAAGGGACUUCCACUUGGAGUUGAGGCCCCAACCAUAGGAAAACUAUAGAAAAACAUAUUUGGCUCAAUUCUACUUUUCAUUCAUUCUCAAAUGUACAAUAUAUAUAUAUAUAUAUAUAUAUAUAUAUAUAUAUAUAUAUAUAUAUAUAUAUAUAUAUAUAUAUAUAUAUAUAUAUAUAUAUAUUAAAUACAACUAUAUGGAUUAUUUACAAAUGCACGCCAUUUACUCUUGGGUGGUGCUAUCUAUACACCCAUUUUAACCUGUUACACAUCACUCUCAAUUUUUGGCCGUCAGAUCAUGUCAAUGGUAGAAGAUCAAUGUACAAAGAUUAACAAUGGUAUGUGGGAAGUAAAAUGAGUUGUGUAAAUAUCAUUACCCUUACUCUUUCAUACAAUUAGCGUAAUGCAGAAUAGUCAAUGAACCCAUGUAGAAGAUUUAAUGAGUUCAAUUGUUCAAUGAACCAAAUUAACUAACACUCCCCCUCAAGUUUUAAAUUAUGUCGAAUAAAAGUUUAAGUGCUCAAAACUUACUUUUACCUGACAAAAUGAUUUCAUCUCAAAAGGUGUUUUCUUAUAGUGAUAUCAAUUAACUCCAUGACAAUAAUCUUUUGAAUUUUUUAGUUUUGCACUCUUAGCUAUGUAUGGAGGUACACAGUGACAUAACUAUUUGUAGACUAGCAUCAAUAUAAAAUUAUUCCGCAAUAUAAUUUCUAAAAAGUGAUAGAGACGAGUGUAACGGGGAUAAUUGCAUCGCAUUUCUUCUACAUGCGUAAGAAGAGAUGCUCGUGACUAAUUGAUUCAUGAGUUAACUUUUGAAGUCGUCUUCAAUGUUUGAAAUGGCGUGAAAUCAGAAGUUAACAAAAUGAGCAGCACCAUACAAGAAACAAGGCUCGAUAACGCAGCACAAGAGUAGAAAGAUUACAAAUAUAAAUCCUUGAAGAACCAAAGUUUUUGAAACCCACCAGUUUGAUAGAAACUCUAGAGGAUAAUUUGAUUAAUUGAUCAGUUGAUGAUUACAAUGGAUAACACCCAUGAUUUAAAUAAGUCAUUUACAACACUUUUGGACAACUAAAAAGGUUUAGGGAAUUAAAACGAAAGUAAAUGACAAUAAUUGAACGACAAUUAAAAGUCCGAAACUUAUUACAAACUUUAUUUUUGCGGUUUUGGAAGCCUAAUUCCUCUUAAACACGACGGGCUCAUGAUAUCAUUCAUCUUGUUGUGCUCGAGAUUCUCUUCAAAACAACAUAUUAUACACCUAAUUAUGAAACUGGAUAUUUCUUGCUGCUUUUUCUAUCACCAUAUUUAUUAAAUCCAAUAUUUCCAACUUUAGUACUUGUUACACCUCACCCCCAAUUAUAUGUAUAAUUUCGUAAGUUCCCUAACAUUUUAAUGAAACUUCAUUUUGGUCCCCUAUUUUGAGUAAAUCUGGACCCUUUAAUGAAACUUCAUUUUGUACUUACCUAGUGGUCCUUUCCGCUACAGGACAUAGGGAUAGAUUCCGGUCCGUCCAGGACGACGGUUUGGUGUUGGCAUAGGGCCUGGAGCGUGUUUCCUCUGGCUAUUAGCACAAGGACGGAGAGCCGGCAUUGGACUUGAAGUGUAUUUUCCUCUGACUGUCUGCUUAGAGACGGAGAGCCGGCAUGGGGCCUGGAAGAGACAAUACUUCGACUUGAAGUUGAGGCCCCGACCAUGGGGAAACCUCCCCCAACUACAUAUGUCUCUAGGAAGUGUAGGUAUUGUUGUUGACAUCAAAUAGGAGAGAAACGCCAUCCAUUAGUCUUACUUGGUUGAUAUGACUCUUCGAUACUUGGUUGACACGAUUCUUCUACACUUAAUGGGUUUCUGUUGAAGAAGUUGAGGUUCCACCAUAAUAUCCCAAUGGCCACAUGCGCUCCACGUUGCCCCGUUGUUUGUUCACAUGUUAGGCUUGAAAAUGCUUCCGCAAAAAACAGAAAGAAAAAAAAAAGAGGUUAAUUUUUGCAUAUAUGUAACACAUUUAUAGUUGAUCUCAUGAGUUCCUUCCGUAAGGGUUUAUGAUAUUUGUAUUGACACUCUAGUAAGUAGACCUGGCAUUCGUGUCGUGUUUCUCGUGUUCGUGUCAUACCCGAUAGCUUAACGGGUUGUGUCAUGUAAUACCCGUUAAAGUAAACUGGUAAUAUAACCCGACCCAAAAUUAACCUGUUAAUAUUAUCGGGUAAUAUGACCCGACCCGUUACCCGUUAAGAAAAAUAUAUUUUAAAUCAAUAAAAAUGAAAAUGAAAAACAUAAUUUGACCAAAAAAAAUGUAAAACAUAGUACUAAAUUAGUAUAUACAUACUAAAUUUCGGAGUUGACCCAUUCGUGAAAGUUAUAAAGCUUUUCAUUACGAGUGAUUACAUUUUUCACACUUCUACAAUAAUUAUUAUUAAUUUUGCACUCAAAUAAAAAACAUUGUUCAUGAGAUUUGGAGGGUUUUAAAAAUCUAAACGACCAUGUUACCAUCGUCUAAGCGUUGAGGAUGCAAUUAGGAACAUUUAUUAUGCUUUCACAUCUUUCAGACUUAUACAUUAAUGAUUAUGAAUUUUGCUUAUUUUGAACCCCCUUAAAAAUAUUAUUCAUGAGAGUUUGUAUGGUUUUAAAAUUUCACACGAUCAUAUACCCAUCCUCAAAGCGUAGAGGAUGCGACUACGAGCGUUUGCAUAUUUUUUGCACAUGUAAAUUAAUUAUUAUAAUUUUUUUAAUGUGUUUGGUAUUUUUUUACUUGAUAUUUUUAUUUUUAAUGUGUUUUAUGAUUUUUAAUCUUAAUCUUUGCCUAUAAUAUACUAUAAAAAUAAAUAAAUAAAUAAAACUUCAAUUUUAAAAUUUAUAUUGAAUAAUAAUUAAUAAACAAUAUAUACAUAUUCAUUAUAUCUAUUGUAUUUUAUAGUAAGUUUUUUUUAGUAGUUUAAAAAAUUAAAAUCAUCAAAAUAACUUUUUUUCGUAUCGUGUCGAAACAGGUUAUCCGCGUGUCACUCUCGUGUAAACCUGUUAAGGACCCAUUAUUAACGGGUUAUUAUCAUGUGACCCGAUAAUGACCCAAUUAGUUAUCGUUUUGACCCGAAACCUGUUAUUUUCGUGUCAUUUACGUAUUGUGUUAACGGGUCGUGUAAGAAAUUGCUAGGUCUACUUGUAAGGUUUUAUCAUAUUUAUAUGGCUAAUUGCAAGACUUAUCAACUCUGCAUUUGGGUACUUCUAUAUGUGUUGGACCUACACGCUUGAAAUAUUGAUUCAAAAAUGUGUAAUUUGUAUUGGAAUGCAAAAUUAAACAAAAAAAAAACAAAUGUUAACGGGUGACUCAUGAGCUUAACAGGUUGAGUUUGGAUGACUCAUUAGCUUAACGAGUUAGGUGCGCGUGACUCAUUAGCUUAACGGGUCAGGUGAAACAUAACUCAAACCCAAUAAACUCAACUCGUUUACAGGUUACCAACAGAUAGUAAAGGGGAUGAAAGUUUCGUACUCGUACCAUCAAAUUAAAGCAUUAGACUCAUCAGUUUCAAUUCCUGCACUGGCUUGAAGUGGGAUGGAUUUAAGGCCCGAAACUUUUAUUCGAUACCCAAUUUCUUCUUCAUUUUAGGACUUUCAAACUCCUAACAUAUAUUAUGUCAAGAGUGCGGGUGUAGCGAAAUUUAUCAUGUUGGAUUUAGUCUAUGUUGCAUUUUUUAAACUGCAAGUUCUGUUCUCAUCAGAAAGUAAUAUCUCAUUAACUCAAGAGAAAGUAAGGAAGAGGGGAAAUACUUCGACUUGAAGUUGAGGCCCCAACCAAAGGAGAGAUUUUUCAGUAUGACCAGUAUACGGGGUGAUACACCAUGUGUCACUAUAUAAAUGGUGGGAUAUGUGUGCUAAAAAGUUAAUAACUUAAAAAAUAAAAUUUCACACCACUACUAUUAAAACACGUGGUGUACAACUUGUGUUCCUGUCAUAAUGAAAAUUUUCUCCAACCAUAAGAAAAUAGUAGAAAAACGUAUUUGGCUCAAUUUUACUUUUCAUUCAUUCUCAAAUGUACAAUAUAUAUAUAUAUAUAUAGUAAAUAAAAAUAUAUGGAUUAAUUAUAAAUACACACCAUUUACUCCUUUAUACAAUGAGCCUAAUGCAAAAACGUCAAUGAACCCAUGUAGAAGAUUUAAUGAGCCUAAUUGUUCAAUGAACCUAAUUAACUAACACUCCCUCUCAAUUUAGAGAGUGAAGAUCCCGAACUCCCAACUUGCAUUUCAUAGUCAAAUAUUUUAAAUUUCGGGUAAAAGCUUAAGCGCUGAAAACUUACUUUUACCUGAUGAAAUGGUUUCCUCUAAAAAGGUGUUUUCUUGUAGUGAUACCAAGUAACUCCAUAACAAUAAUCUUUUGAAUUUUUGCACUCUUAGCUAUCUAUGGAAGUACAAAGUGACACAACUAUUUAUAGACGAGUAAUGCUAUGGAGACUAAAUUUGUAGAUAAAGUUUUGAAAACUAAAGGACAUGGAAACUGAUGGUUGUUUUAUUACUUAAACGUUGAUAAACGUGCUUAUUCCUAUUGGAGACACGUCAUUUAUAUUGCAAAUUUAGUUUUCAAAUUUAAUCUCUCUAGCAUUACCCUUUAUAGAUUGGCAUCAAUAUAAAAUUAUUCCGCAAUAUAAUUUCUAAAAAGUGAUAGAGACAGGUGUAACAGGGACAAGUGCAUCGCAUUUCUUCUACAUGCGUAAGAAGAGAUGCUCUUGACUAAUUGAUACAUGAGUUAACUUUUGAAGUCAUCUUCAACUUUUGAAAUUGCGUGAAUCAGAAGUUAGAAAAAUGAGCAGCACCAUACAAGAACACAAGGCUUGAUGAUGCAACACAUUUUCAUACCAUUUUUUUUUUGGUUUUAGAAAUGCUAUUUAUACCAUAUUUUUGUACCAUAUUUUCAUACCACCUUAGGUGGCAUUUGAUGUGGAUAACCACAUCAUUUGAAUUAAUCAGAUUUUUAAAUUUAGUUCAUUCUUUAACAAACUAAUAAUUAAGAAAAACUAGUUAAUUAAAUAAUGAUUGUCGUAUUCCUCGUAUUUCUCCUUCCUUUCCUUGAGUUUUGCAAAUUUUUCAAAUGAUGUAGCUGUCCACAUCAAAUGCCACCUAAGGUGGUAUAGAAAUAUGGUACAAAAACAUGGUACGAAUAGCAUUACUCGGAUUAAAAAUAUAUAAAUCCUUGAAGAACCAAAGUUUUUGGAACCCACCAGUUUGAGAGACACUCUAAAGGUUAAUUUGAUUAAUUGAUGAGUUGAAGAUUACAAUCGAUGACAUCCAUGACUUAAAUAAGUCAUUUACAACACUUCUGGACAACUCAAAAGGCUUAGAGAAUUAAAACAAAAGUAAAUGGCAUUAAUCAGACGACAAUUGAAAAGUUCGAAACUUAUUACAAACUUUAUUUUUAAGUUUUGGAAGCUUAAUCCCUCUUAAACACGAUGGGCUCAUGAUAUCAUUCCUCUUGUUCUACUCGCGAUUCUCUUUAAAACGACAUAUUACAAGCCUAACUAUGACACCAGAAUAUUUCUUGCUGCCUUUUCUGUUGCCAUAUUUAUUUAAUCCAAUAUUUUCCAAUUUUAAUUCUUCUUCUCCUAAUUUGAAACAUUUUAUUUUAUUUAUAUUUCUUCAUACGAAGUGACUCAUAUCUUGCCUUACAUCACUUGACUUGACUUCAACCAUCUGAUCUUCGACCUCAAGAUCCAGACUAAUGGUUGGAGAGCAAGUGUGUAAAAAAUAAAUAAAUGAAAGGAAGAGAAAAAGAAGUACAAACUGAUUACAAAACUUUGCCAAAAUUGCUACACAACACAAAGUGACUACAUCAUACCAAACUUUACUCCAGCCAAGUUAAAUGAUGUAUUUAUAAAGAUCCAAUUCUUAACAAACAUGAAAGCAAUCGAAAACCCUCCUAAAUAAUACGAAAGUAAUCUAAGAUCAUGUGGCACAGAAGGAUUUAAGAGUACUGUAGAACCUUUUUUUUUUUUUUUUUUUUUUUUUUUUUUAAAGGAAGAGAAAGGUGAAGGAGCAACCCCGGGAUAGGGAGCCCAAAGUGGGCUGAAAAUCCAGCAGCACCCCUUCGGCUCCAGCACCCUAGUAUAACCUAUCCCCGUCUGGGCGCAAGCUACAAGGUUUUAAUUCGACCGGUGGAGUGGAUACUGGUCUAUGUGUGGAACUUGUGCUUUGGUUUUGGUCUAUGUUGAUUUUUUCAAACUGCAAGUUCUUUUCUCAUCAGAAAAGAAAUAUCACGGUAACUCAUUAACUCAAGGGAAAGCAAGGAAGAGGCCCCAACCAUGGGGAAACCUCCUCCAACUACAUAUGUCUCUAGGAAGUGUACAUAUUCUUGAACUUCGACCUUUAACAUUCGCAUAAUAGUUGGAUAAUAGUCGCUCUCAUGCUUGCCCCUAAAAUACUAUUGUUGAUCUAGUGCAGUUGCAAAUAUUUAAUUGUGUUUGGUUUUAUCUAUUUUGUAGGUACUCUGAGCUCAUAUAAGUAAACAUUUGUCCAAAGAAAGGUUGAUUAGCAGAUUGUAACUCAAGUAAUUAAUAACAUUCAUUCCAUCCAUCUCAAUAUCAAUGGUACAUAUAUAAAUAUAUAAAUAAAUAAAGUUGACCUGUUCCAUCUGAUCUUUGAUGGUAUGCAUCAUGUUCUGAAACAUACAGUACAGUCCAUUAAAAAUGAAGAUCAAUGGUUUGGAGAGCUCCAAGAUAUGUGGCCAAGUGUUAAAAACUCCAAAUUGACUAUCCUGUCUUCUAAAGUCACGUCAAGAAGUGUUGAUUUAGAGAGCUCCAAGAUUUGUGGCCAAGUGCUAAAAACUCCAAAUUGACUAGGCUAUCUUCCAAAGUCACGUUAAGAAGUCUUGAUCAUUAAUGACAUGCAACAACAUAUUAUUCGCAAUAAAUUUCCUUGACAAAUAUUGAAAAAUGGAAUCAUCAACAAUUCGGUUUUCCAUUGACAAAUAUUAAAAAAAUGUUGACUAAUGAAAAAAGUUGAGAAAGUUACGCAUCCAAUUCCUCGAACAAGCUUCUGGAACGUAGACUUCAGCAGUGAUAUCGUAUAGAGGUCGACAAGGUUGUCUAGGUCGGAUUACUUGACUUCAAUCUUCUGAUGCUUAUGCUUAUGUAGACACAAUAUUCUUGGUGUUGACUUUUAGGAUGCCUUAUGAUCUGGUCGAUACAUAUGGCGUUCUCUUCAUGGAUCAUUGUUAAGACUCAACGAUGGAUGAAAAUCGUAGUGACUUUAAAUAUGCUCAACAAGAGUUCUCGACCAUAUCUCACGUUAGAUACGGUGGGUUUUGGAACAACUCGAAGAUUUUGAAACUAAGGUCUAUCUAGUUGACCUCUAAGAUUUUGCAGUGUUCCUUAACAGUAAAGACAUAAACAUUUAGGAAUGUACCUUGUGCAGAUCAGAUAGAGAGUCUAACUCAGUGAAUCCCACAAGGUAUGCCUCAUUCCGAAGAUCAAUAAGGUGUGAUCUAUUCUGAGAUGCAUAGGAAUAGAGUAACCCCAAAUCUGUAUUAACGGAAAAAUGUCGAUAACACCAAUUUGGUGAUGGCGUGUAGGCAGUGCUGCUUUAUGUCAAAUGAUUAUUAGCACUUGAGAUGUCCGAUCUAGUGCUAUGAGCUAAGUACAAUAAACGCUAAUUGCACUCAAAUAUGGCGUCGCAUGUCUUGAUAUGGAACCUUAUGUAAUAUCAUUAGAACUAUACUCGAAACUUCUGGUCAAGGUAGUGUAGAGUUUUCCCAAGAUUAUUCAUCUCAAAGUCCGACUUUAGGUGCGAGUCAGUUUUCUGCAACUCUAACAAUUUUGGAUUAUGUACACAUAAUGACAUUAUCCCUAACUGAUCAAUUAUUCAUUAAGAUGGGUAUACCACAUCUGCCCAAAUUGUUCUGCAUCCGUAAAGUGAAAGCCUCAUCUAAACCCAGAGGGUGUUCUGUGGUCUAGAACUAUUUGAAUAAAUACAUGUAAGUUCUUCAGAAACUUCCAUGUAUAUUUCGUAUCAUGAUCCCAUAAGGUAGCUUUUUAUUGCACUAUUUCAUUCAUCUCAUUCGACGUUGAUUGUUUAUUUCUAAUUGACCAAUCAGUUCUACGUUGUUAGUAAUCAACAGAACGCAAUUCGAUAUCGUCACUUUUCCUUUAUGUCUGUAGCUACCAUAUAACUGAAACAUCAUCCAUGAUAAUCUCAUUCCAAUUCCAUAUGUCAUCCAAACUAGUAUAUUGGAUUAAGAUGUCACGUCUCGAUCCCAACAUACGUCGAGAAUCCACACGUGAGCAGGAAAAUAACGUUCGUUGAAUACGGUAUAAGUUACGGAAUGAAAUACUUUAACUGAUAACCCAAAAUAAUGUGAAGGUGGCUAAAUUCUCCACAAAAUAUUUACAAAUAUUUACAUCCCAAAAAGAAGCAUAAUCUUUGCUUUACUAAGAACAAGUAUGAGGUGCUCAAAAGAAAGUCCCAAAAGAUAAAGUACAAGAGUGAAUCAAGGGUAACCUAACGCUCCAAGUCUCUGAUAACUGCACUGCUACCCCCACCUACAAACUUCUUAGAGUCUACUUAAACCUGUCACUUGUACGAUCAGUGCCUACACCAUCGAAAUGGUGCACCAGGCAAACAACAACCUGGAUAAGUUGUGAAGCUUAUGAGAGUGACAAUAAUAUCAAGUAUGUGAGAAUAAUGCUAAUGCCAACCAUCAAACACAGUUUACAUAUCUUGAAUAUAAAUCAUUCAUAAGAAAUCAAUACCAACUUUUGUAAACCCCGAAGGAGUCACCCAGACAUCCAACGGUUCGUCUGAAACCAAUCACAACAUCUCACAACCAUCUUCUCAUACAACACAAUGAAAAGUAGAGUUAGAGCGACACAGUUUGGCCGAAGCCUACACCUUUGAAGAUAUCUCAAUUCAAAUUCAAUAAAUCCCAAGGUGAGUACGAUCCCGGACCUUCACUCAACGAAAUCGUGAAAUAUGAGGGAUUCCGGACAAUCUCUCAACGGAAUCCAAGUGGAUACAAUUUCGGACCCUCACUCAACGGAAUCGCUAAGUACGAUACAUAACAAUAACUAAAUGAAACCCAAAUUAGAUACGAUUCUGGAACAUCACUCAACGGAAUCAUGAAAUAAAAGGGAUUCCGGACCAUCUCUCAACGGAAUCCGAGUGGAUACGAUUCCGAACCAUCACUCAACGGAAUCGCAGAAGACCAACAACCAGAAUGUACGACGGCUCAAAGAAAUGAGACAAGCACAUGCUACUUAAUUUACAAAAACUCAACAAAGGGAGAUUAGGCACAAUUACUAAAUUUAGAACCAAUCACCACAGCGGAAGGUGAAACAAUAUCGAAGCAACAAAUCCCCAUCAUAAUGGUUAACGGUCCAUUACUAGUCCUCACAUUAAUCUCAACAUGCCAAUCAUACAAAUCAAACCACAUUUCCAAUAUACAUGCCACACCCUAUUUCAUAAACAUAAAUUGAUGUCGAAGUAUUGGAAUAACAAUUCAAUAGAACAUAUUCAUAAAACCAAUUCAUAUCCACACAUGAUCAUAAUUAUGACAACCUGAUAAUUACCAAUAUCACAUAUAUUAAAGUCACUUACCUGGAGUCCGUGCUAAUGUACCCUAGCACGAUAGUCAAUGCAUCACGUUCUAUCACCGCCUAACAAAGCACAAGUCCACAUUUAGAUUUCCUUCGAUAAUUCACAUACUCAAAAAUUCUCAUAUGUCUCCCACAACAACAUUUAAUGAGGAAUCAAACCGUCGUUCUAAUGUAGGGUCCAUGAUCUUACGUCAUUUGCUUCGUAAAAUCCAAUCACUAGAUUUUCACUUAUAAGUCCCUAAGGUCCUUAAACAAUAUCUACAAUAGCAUACUAAAAUUUGGUGUCGAUUCAGUGAUAAGAUCGUCAAUUGUUAGAAUAAUCAAGUGGCAGACCUUAUCGAUAAUAUAUACAAUCAAUAGCAUUUUCAUAAAUCGAAUGUCACACACCGGAAAAUUUGAUUUUCUCCAAAAAUUCUCAAAUUUUAUAGGAAUAAAGAUUUCAACAAGUAGAGUAAACUUUAUACCUGUGGCUGAGUCCAAUUUGGCCUGGAAGGCCCUCAAAUUGGCUCGCACCCAACAAACCCUAAGGUAGGUGUUCUUCAAUUGGCUCCCUUGGUGUUCCAACGUCCCAACCACCAGUUGGGUCUUGUUCCUGGGUCCAAGGGAAGUUGAUCAAGGGUGAUGGUUAAUGGUGAUACUAUUCGGAACGACAAUUCGUCGUCGAAAACCCCUGGGUUCUUCGAUGGAGUUCUACCCGAAUUAGACCUUAAAAUCCUUGAUUUUAUUUGGUGGAGAUGGAAGGAAGAAGAUAGUUGAGCAAGUUGCAAGUGAAGGAGAUAGGAAAAUCAACUGGGAAAUGGAGGAAUUGGCCUGAAAUUGGCCUGUUUGAAUUUGGCUGGUGGACCUCACGAUUUCAUGAAAUAGGGAGGAAGAAAGUGGCCUUUCCUUUUUCUUUUCCAAAUGGGUCCUUUCAUACCCUUUAAAAAUCUGAUAGGUCCCCACUUUUCUAUUUUUUUUCUUUACUAACUUAACCUUUAACCCAUGCUUCCCACAAUCUAUAGUUCACAACUUCAAACGUUCGUAACUAUACCGUUAUAAUUCAGACUCGCAAACGGCUUUCGCCUAUGCGUUCGUGGAUUCAAGAUCUAUUUAAAAACACUAGUUGUAACUUUGAAAUAUCAACGAAAGAUAAAGAUUGAUUAUGAAACUUCCAACUUGACAACUAAUCAAUUACUAAACUUAUAAUUAGUGGAAUUAAAAUUAACUAAUAAAGAUAAUGUAAUCGCAAAAUACGAAUUUAAAUUACGAAACACGAAAUAAAUGGUGAAAUUCUGGGGAUGGGAUUUCACAUAAGAACUUCAGGUUUUGGGUGUAAUCCGGAUUUAAUCUCAUGAGAUGUUGAGGGAGAGAUUCAUUUGUGCAUGUUCCUCCACUUUUAGGGAGGUGCAUCCUUCAACAUCUAAAACUUAGAAAUACAAGAUUGAUAGGUUUUGAGAAGAAGAAUUUUACCUCCGAACGCUCAGCCCAAGGAGAAUAAAGAUGCAUAGGUCAUGCUAGAGGUGAAGAAAGCUCGGUUUAAGAAGUCCCUUCAAGUUUGGAAGCCUGUUUUGGAAAGCAACAAAAACUAGCUAAGUGCAAGAGGGGUGAACUUCAUAUAAUACUCAAAGUUCAAAAAAGGUUACCUUCAACUCCUCCAGAAUCUUGGCUAUGACCUCUUUGUCACUUUGCUGCCCUUCUACACCUACCUGUAUCUUCUGAGGGGAAGGAUCAAGCUUCUUGCUGAUAAUAGGUCCUAGUUACAAGAAAUGAUAAGAUUAGCUCAAAGAAUCAAAGAAAUGGACUGAGAUUGCUUGUCUAAAUCCCAGCUGUCUACCACAGAAGUUGGGGUGGUAAACCUUCAUCCUACUUUCACAGCCCACUCAGUCGCUCCGUACUCCCUAAGUCAAAUCCCUCUACCAGAUGAAGCAAACGAAUUUCUCCUUGCAGAAGCUGUUGGCAUCCUCCCCAAAUGAAUCCUAGAAGAAGUUGUCCGAGAACUAAGGGUAUAUCUUGAGUACUGAAGCACCUUCCAGAUCAGUCCGAGUCUUACAAAUUCUAAAGAAAUAAAGGCAAGCUAAGGUAAAGUGAUUGGUGGUGGGAGCCUCUGCCAGAAUUUGAGCUGAAGCUACUCCCUCUGGAAACUCUAGGUUAGCAGACCGAAACUCCGAGAAGUACCAUUGAAGCGAGAGCUUCACCAUCCAGGUAGCUUCGUUGACAUUAGUCUUGAAUGGCUGGUCCCUUGUCAUCUCAUAAAGAAGAUGAUAGAGAUGUGCCAGAAAAUGACCGAUGGCAACAUUAUCGAAGGAAUACAGCGCCUCCACCAAAGGGAUCCAUUCCAACUUCACUCUUUUAGAUUUGUUUGGGAACACAUGUUUAUUCAACCAAUAGAGGAGAAAGUACAUGUGCUCCUAAGCUGGAUCAGAGGUGGGAGAAGGCUGGUUGAACAUCUUCUUGGCAAAAGGAAUGAAGCCCGCGAAAGAAGUCGCAUAGCUCUUGAAGGUAGUGAGGUUAUACUCCAAGCUAGUGAUCGACUGAGAAGCCUCUAAACCUUCAGCAGCAGGGCAUGAGGGUGAAGACCAAUAAUAUGUAAUGUCUACACACUUGCCUGAUGGCCUCAAACCAAAGACCUGAGCCAUAUCCAGAAUGGUGAGAGUUAAGGGGCCCACUCUGAAAUUAAAGGUAUUAGUCCCUGUGUUCCAGAAUAGAAGAGCUGUUGAGAUAAGCUCAUUCUUCCUCGAAGAAAAUGGACAGGUUGAGGCCAGCCUAAGGGCAAUGAAUGCCGUUGACCUGAGGGCAAUGAAGGUCGUUGAGCCGACGGGAGUCAUUGUUGAAUUCAAGAGAAAUGAGUGAAAGAGUGACUGGAAAUUGAGGUAAGAGAAGGCUGAGAAUGCAAGAGAUUUGGGAGCUUAGGGAGUCAAGUUUGCUGAAUGAGGUGGCCGAGAAAAGUGAAAUGGAAGUUAUUUAACGGGCAAGUAGUUAACUUUGAAAAUCAUGGGUUAGUGCAAAGAUUUGUUUGAAACGGCUAAUUAAGUGGUGCUAAUACCCAGUUCCGGCAAGCAAUUAAUUUUAAUCAUUAUCAAUGUCUUGAUUAGCAGACUUAACAAUAAUUAAAAGGGGCACUGUUUGAGUAGACAUUUAAUGCUGGGCUUAGUGAGAGUGGAGGCCCAAGAACACAAAAAGCAAGGGGAGGAUUAGGCUCGAACAAAUCGACAGCCCAGGAAGAAUUGAAAAUCAUUUUUGCCAAAAGUACUUUUCGUGGGAAUGGAUAGGUAAAUAAAUGGUGACUCACCAUGUUCCGGAGGCCAUCACCAAAAGUUAAGGCUUAGACAUUAGGGCUAAAGAGUCUAUAAAAGCAGCAAGGAACACAAGGGAUAGUGACACUCAACCAAUCAAUCAAAAGACAUCCAACUUUGCUCUUAGACAAGCAAGAAACCAGAAAGCUUUAGUUUGUCCAGACUCUACUCUUUUAGUCAUAGAUCCACCAUAGAAAGCCAUCUUUUGUCAAGUUUUAGAAGCUCUGCUACUUUUUCCCAGUAUUGUAGUAUCUAAUCCCUUUAGUAAACCCGAUUUACAUCUCAUUCUCUCAAGAUUACAACCCCUGUAAAACACAAAGAGAAGUGGUUGUAAGAAAAUGAACCUUGCCAGGCAAGGUUAUAAGCUUGCCCGAAUCUCUUUCGUUUGUACUUACAUAAAGUAUAUUUGUUGUUUAAUAUAUCUUCCAUUGUGUCUUAAAUCAUUUUGAACUGCUUUUCGUUCAAAGUUUCAUCUAUGAUUAAUUUGGCUACACUAAUUAACCUUGCUUCUUUAGUGUUAACUGUAAUCAAAGAAAUGGUUGGAAGGGUCCUGAACUCCAUUUAUCUGGACAUAUAAUAUUAUAAGUAAAAGUUCUUGUUUAAAAGGCAAGAAAAAGAAUUAUAUACAGACUUAACCCAUUUGUAACAAUCCAAUAGAAUUAAGAAGUUUAAGUAACUUAUGGCGCAAGUAAUCAACCCAUUUCAUAACCAAAAAAAAGAACAAUCUGUUAUACAAAGAUACGUUCAUAUCCAUAUUAGUUUUGAUUGUGAGCCUCAAAGUCUAACGAAUGCCCCACAAAGGCACCAUUUAAACUAAUUGCAAACUCAUAUUGCAGCACACCAAGCAGCAAACCUUAGCCGACAAGCAAGACCCCUGGAAGUUAUGCGAGGGACAUAUCUAGCCCAAACAAGUGUGACACUAGUUUAGCUGCACCAAGCCAGUGGGAUCUUGUUUCCGACAAGCGGAUGACGGAGGAGGAACAGCCGCUUCAGGUGGCAAGAUGUACUAAGGUAAUCAAUCCAAAUUCUGAAGUGCUAAAUUCAUUCCUUGAUGCAAUGAACAAAGUCGUUAUGGGGAACAAGAAGUUUAGUGCAAUGCCUAAACAUAUGGUUUACAAUUUAUAUUUGACUAUAGAACUUCAUGUACAUUAGAACCUCGAUAAUUUAAAAUAUCCGAUAAAACAAUAAGGCUGAUUAAAUAAUAUUUUUGGAUGGUUCAAACUUGGAGAUAAUGUGCUAAAUUAAUAAUUCGCUAAAUAUCAAAGAGAAUAUAUAAUGAAAAUUUUAUAUAAGUCCCACGUCAUAUAUAAAUUAAUGAUUUCUUGAUUUCUUUACACCUUUGAGAUUAGAAACCAUUGUUCUAUGUAUGAUGUGUUACUAUGACUUAUGGGAGAAAUAAGAAAGCUCAUGAAUUGUACUUCCUUAAACAAAUGUAUAGAAUUGUUAAUUCGUAAAUCAAGAAACUAAAUAAAAUGUACAAUAUUUGAGUAAAUAAGAAGGAAUAUUAUAUGAUUGAUAAAUUAAUAAUUUUUUUAAUUUGUCAAUUAUUUAACAUUUGCUAAAGUAAUAGAUUUUCUUUGGUCCCAAGGUUACUAAUUUAUGGAGGUUUAACUGUAUGUUUUUGUUACGACAGUUUCAAUUUUGUUUGUUUAUCUAUGUUUUUUUUGUUAUUUAGUUUCUAUUCUUUCUGUUAAAUGAUUUGUGAGCCUAUUACAAAAACACGAAAAGAAAAAAUGAUUUGUGUGCCUAGCGUAAAUUUCAAAAUGAUGACGUAAAUGUAACACUCACUAAAAUAACGAACAAUUUUCAUACGAUUCCAUAUCCAUCCACCCUUCUAAAAUACACAAAAAAUAUACAGACCUCCACCACAAGGUACUGAAAAAUCUCAACCAAGGUUGGAGUAUAAUCAUGUGAACUAUUAUAAUUCUUUACUUUUUUGGGACAAACAAUAGAGUAGUGUACGUACACUAAACUCACUUAAAUUACAGGGAAGGAGAUUGAAAUACGAGACCUCGAGUGCAAGGACGAAUGUUCUUAACCAAGUCAGCCACAAGCCACUUACAAUCUAUAAUAAUUAUUUUCAAUUUCAUAUUUUUAGCAAAGCAAAGUAAUUUGGAUUGCUUUGAAUGUUUUACUCAGAUCAAAAAUUUACAAAUUUUGAACGCCGCAUUGCAUUUAUAAAUUUAUUAACCAUAGCUAGCAUUGUUGGAAAUGCUUUAAAAAAUGGGUGUUUAAAAAUUAUUUCCUCAAGGUAUGCUUUAACGGCGUUUAAUCGGUUUCAGUGAUUGCAUUCGAGUGCUACAGAGCAAGCGUAAUACUACGUAUAACAUUAAAGAAAGAAGUAGAGCCCUAGUAUCUGAAUAUCCAUCCAUAAAGCAUGUUAUAGCCGCACCAACAAAUGUUGUUUCAUUAUUCAUUCAUGUCAACUCAAUUGGAAUAGCAAGGGAUUUAAGACGAGCUAAACUAAAAAUGAACUAUGCGCAGAAAGCGAAAAAUAAGAAUGUUUAUUACCAGAGACAUUGUGGUCUCCGAAAAGGAGAUAUCAACAGACCUGGGAAAGAAGGCAACUUGAACUUGCCUAAAUAAUCGUCGUCUCCAACUCUCAACUCUUAUAUAUAGGAUGCCGUCUCCUGCAAUUCCAAGUCAAACAGUGGAACGAAGGGAAAUCAUAUUGAUCACUCGAACCAAAGGUACAAAUAUCACCGAUAAUAGUUUCGGCAGCCAUGUAUUUGCAAAUAAAAAUCAUAACUAAGAAAAUGAGGUGGUUAUAUUACCUCUUUGGUCGACUACGGUCUUCCUCAUAGUCCAUCACUCCUCCAGGUUCGGAGUAGAUCUCCUCAUGCCCCCGGAAGUCAACGUCGGCCUGCUUACAGUGGGGAACUUCUGCCACAAUGUAAGUAAAGACACAUCGACCAACAUAUCCCAAUAACUAAACAAAAGAUUAAUAAAAAAUUAUGUGUUUCGUGUGUGGAGUGGGACUAAAGAACUCGUUCAUCUAUGAUUAUGUAUAGCUUCAGAAUAGCUCAUCAAAAAGGCGCUGAUGUGCACAUUUGUGGCAGAGAAAUACAUCAACGAAAAUAAAAUCAUAAUAUCGUGUUUUACCAUCCCAUGCCAUAUGUUCAAAUCAUCAAAAUGGAUCCCGUUCACUUUAUUAGGAAGGAUUACUUGCAGAAGCAAUACAAAAAAUACAACAGGAUUAAACUGACCUUGAUGGAAAUCGACUUCUUUACUUCUUCCACCCUAUUUCCAACUUCUUUCUUGUGUUCCUUGGCCACUUCAGUCAUAGUAUCAGCCCACUUCAUCUUUUCUUGAAUUGAGAUAAGAAGAUUGCUUGAGGUAUCCAACCUACGUUUUCAUUCACACAAAAUUUAGGCAAUACCAUCAGAUUUAUAUCUCAAAAAGAAACUUGAGAAGUCAUUAACUUAGAAGCAAAAUAUCACAAAGUCAGCAUACUGGAUAAAACACGAGAAUGCAUUACUACGAAAAACAUGGAACCACUUUUUUUAAUGUGGAGAUAGUUAAUAAACUCUACCACAUGAAACAAUUUCAUUAAAUUGGUAAUAGAUGCUCCAUAGCAUUUGAUUGCACACAACUAAGAGUCAGGAAACUUUUAUGCAAUCAAGGUCAGACAUGAAUGUUUUCAGAUCAUAAUGCACAUAUUUAGGACCAAAUUCUAAAUAAGAAGUUCCAUCUAUGCAUACUGAACAUACAACCCAACAGAGAAACUGCAUCAGAGACGUUACCAGUUUGACAGUGUUUGAAUCAUACUCCCAAGUUGUCCAGGUCUCGGAUCUCUCCCUGCAGCAAACUGGAGCUGCAUUUUACAAGAAAUAAUUGAUUCGAUAUUUCUUAUAAGGAAAUAAACAAAGAGCAACGAGAAAAGGCAAGCGAAAACAAGUAAAACAACACAAAAAUUAAAAAUAAUUUGAAGCAAAGGCAGCAGUAAUAAACACAAACCUCAAAGCAUUUUUGCAGCUGGUCCAGCUUUCCUCUUAUUAUGCCCUAAGAGAAAACAUGACAUCUCCUUCAUGUUUUCUCUAUCCACUUAACUAUGUUACACAGAUACAAAUACAUGAUAAAUUACUAUAUAACAAGGUUGGGAUAAUAAAAUAGUAUAUAUCACAUUACACAUAUAUGUGCAAAAGUAAUCUACGUAAGAGAGUCAGAAGUGAGUUGUAAUUUAAAAGUACCAAUACAUUUUUAAGGAAAAGAUUCACACAAAAAAAUACCCUUGUGCAUCUGGAUGCGUAUGUACACAACACAUGUCGCACUAUAUCCAAAAUGUCAAUGAAUACUGCAAAUCUGUAUCUGAUAACUGUUGGGGUGUUAUCGGGGGUGGGGGGGGGUGUUGGGAAUCAGGGCCAUAUCCUUACAGGAUACUCACCUGCAAUAUUUGGAAUAUCGCUUCAUAGACCAAACUAACAGUAACAAUUUUCAGGUACUGUCCAAUAUUCAAAAAUAAAUUCUUACACGGGCAAGAACCGAGUCCUGCGGCCCAUGCAGAGUAAAAUUGGCGGACAGAUGGACGGGAGAAGAGUGUUUAUUUGUACUGUAUUUGAAUAACAAUUCGUUAAAGUUAUGAUUAUUCAUUCCACAACCUUCACUAAAGAAACCUUUUUGUCCAGUAAAAGAUGCAUAUUUCAAUGUAACUAGGAAAAAAUAGAGGUAGAGGGAUGAAAGAAUUAUUACCGCAUACAUGCACUCAUUAAUGAGAAAAUCCUCGAGCUCUUGUACAUUGAUAACAUCUAACUCCUGCAUAAGUUGAUGAUACGGUAGUACCUGGAAAAUAAUUCAAGAAUAUAAGAGAAAACUGAAUGCACAACACAAUAUGGGACAUCUGUGUAUAUAAAAACCGGAUAUCAACACAAUAGUGACCUAGACACCUAAUACAGGAUAUGAUGAAUCACUACUUUACAAAUACUUAAAAAGGUUCUAGAAGACUCUCUCCAUGGUCUUUUAGCACAACAAUCUCAUAAUAUGUUCAAUCAAAGGCAUCAGAUACUAAGACCUGUAAGUCCACUAUUGUUCUGAAUUUUGAUUGGAACUAAUAAGCUUCUGGCAUUCCAUAUAACUUUUCAUAUCAUCGUUUGCAGUAAAAGGCACCAUCAUCUAUUACAUUCAGAAUUCAAUUGGUAACUGCAGUCUUUCCUCCAAGUGCAACUAAAACAAAUAUCUGUCCAUAAAACUUGUCUAAAAGUGAUGAUAAUUUUUCCUCUCCUUUCAUUUUUGAUGACAUAUUUUCUGAAGCAUGGAAGACAUCAAGUACCAAAGGUGACAAGCUCCAUAUAUUCACAUUGAAAAACCAUACAGCCAUAACCAUUACUAUGCAAUCAGAGAUGUAUAUCACCAACAACUUUUCAAAGGAUUACGCAUUUAAGGAAACAUACCUUGUUUGUCUCAGCCAGUGUAAGAACAGUAAGCUGUUUCAGCUUUAAGACUUGAUCAGGGACCAAAUGUGGAAGACGACUGGCAUCACCUACAAUACAUUUCAGUUUCUUAAAUUCCAUAACAAUGCCAAAGGGAUGCUUAAUUUCUUUUUUCAUGGAAAAUAUACUCAGAAAUUUUAUGGGAAGUAGUUCUCCUGGGAAUUGACAAUAUCUCCCGAAUUUCAAAAAUGAUUGAAGUAAGGAAAAGCUUAAAUGUUAUGGAGGGAAUAAUAAAGGACAUAGUAGUAGAAUUUAAUAAAAGAUACGGCAGUUGCUUUAAAACAAAUGUGCCAGUUUACACUUCUUCUAACGAAAAUAUGUUGCUGCCUCCAUUUAUUCAUCUUAUCAGUGAAUAAGUAUAAGAAAGUAUCUUCUUUGACAUCUCCAAAGCAACAGUAAGAAAAAAAACCGGUGAUGAAGUGAUGACUCUGCAGCAGAGCUUGAUAGAAAUAUACAUGGGUCAGUUAUAUCCUCAAGCAACAUUAAUAUGACAAAAGCACCAACUGCAUUGGCACCCAAAACCCUGCCACAUGUUCUUGAUAAUGAGGCUGCGCACAAUGUUUCAUACAAUGAACCAACAGACGUUCCAAUGGUGGCUCAAAUUUUGGGUUUUUCUCCUUCUGAGUUUUGUUUUCAUGUUGCACAGGGUUUGUUGAUAGUUAAAUUUUAGGGCGUUAUUGUUCGAUUUCUUCAUCACAGAUAUGGAAGCGGAAAACAAGCAUUAAUCGAUUUGGUGCAAGAUGACCAAAGCAAUCAAACCAACAGCUAGAGAAUAACAAACCCAUUAGAAAAUCGACCAAAAGAUGAAGCGAUUUUUGCGUGCUUACUCUUGUAAUCACUCCAUGUGCCAUGUGCAAACAAUCGAAGCACAUGGAGGUACACAGAAUUUUCAGUUCCUUCAAGCUGCACAUAUUCCACAGUCAAAAAACAAAUGCGUAUGAAACAAAAUCCAGUAACAAUCAAUAAUUUUAUUUUCUCUUUGGCUGCAACAAAAUUCUGAUUAUACAUCCUUUGCUCAAACCCAGAAACUACACGACCAAAAUAUACACAGAAAACUGAAAUUCCACAAUAAAUAAAUAGAAACAUGGGAACCUGAAGAACAUUAGGGACAGCGAUAAUUUCCGAAAAGGCAAAAAGGGCAGGGUGGGAGGUGACUUCUGCAACGAGGGGGCCGAGAGCAGAGCCAUCGAGUGAUGAGGCUUGCUUCACGAAGUGAUCAAUGACCUCCUCUUGCUUUUGCUCAAUCUCCAUCUCAAAAAACAACAGAAAUUACUAAUUGCAACGAUGGAAAAAUCGAGACGAGACGGUGAAAAGUUCAGCAGUGGAAAGCUAGGGAUUUGGUGGGUUGGAAUUUCGGGGAAGAGAUUGAGGAAGGGCCCAGAGGUUUAGGGGGUCGAAAAUAACCCUAAAAUCGUCUCCAACCGAGGGCUAGGCCAGAGGGCUCUGGAAUUUGAGAGGGCCCACGGGAUCAGAGAGGGCUGGAGGGCUGGAGCGCUGGCUGCUUUCGGCCAGCCAGCCCCGGGCUGGCUAUUUUUUUUUUAUAUGAUUUCCUAUUGCUGUCGGUUAUAGCCGACAGCAUUAAAGAUAUUCUUUUUUUUUAAUAGUUCUACUAUUAGUGUCGGUUAUAACCGAUACUAAUAGUUUGAAAUGUUUUUUAAUAUAACGGCUAGUAGCCGUUGUAUUAUUAGGCCUUUUUUUUUUCUUUUUUUUUUAAUGAAUUUAAACUUUUUUUUUUUUAAUGAAUGUAAACUUCUUUUUUCCCCUUUUUUUUUUCCUUUUCAUAUGAAUCAAAUUUUGUUUCAUAUUUUUUUUCCUAUAACUUUUAUUUCACAAAAUUUGUUUCAUAUUUUUUUUCAAUUCUAUUUUUUUCGUAUAACUUCCUAGGCCAUUUAUACAACAUUAAAUUGUAGUUUUUAAAUAAUAAAUUAUGUUUGGCCCUAUGGCCCUCGGUUGGAGACGGUUUUUUGUGACAGGGCUAAAACGAGCCCUUUGGCCCUCUGGCCCUCGGUUGGAGACGGAGGCAAAUAUGGCCCUGUACUGUUCAUUAAAAUAUUAAUAUCUUGGGGAAUCUUGGAGGGCUAGAGGGCUCAAACGAGCCCUCUGGCCAGCCUUCGGUUGGAGAUGGCCUAAGGGUAGAAUGAUGCAUUGUCAGAUUCUAUUGUGGGCACCUGGCAUUCGCAUCGAGACAUCUCCAUAUCUUAACCGUAAUAUUUAUUAAAAUAAAUGAGUAAUAUAAUUUGACCGAAAUUGAUCGUUAAUAUUAAAACGUAAUAUGAAGUUACAUGUUAUAUUGAAAAAAAGGUUAAAUUAAUAAAAAAUUAAAUGAAAAACCUAAAUGAGAUCAAAGAAUCCAAUAAUGAGAUCAAAGACAUCUCCAGUGCAUGUAUGAUAUAUAUUUUCCGAUUAGGGAUUUGGAUUGGAAACCUUAUCUGUCAUUUCUGCUUUGACAGUCUUGUUUCUCUAUUUGUAAAUAUGAAUUCAUCACACAAAAACACAAAAAGGUUUUGUUAUUUCCCAUUAAUUUUCUUGUUCAAAUAUGUCAAUAAUAUGAAAGGUUUUGUUAUUCUUUAAUGUGGGACUUUCGCCUUCACCUCUUCACAUGUACCAAUGACUUGUUUUUUCCCAUCAAUUUUCUUGUUAAAAUAUGUCAAUAAUUUUGAAAAAUGGUACAUAAAAGUACUUUUAUAAAGUUAUAAUAUCCUUCACGUGAAAAUGUUUUUUUGCAAGAAUAAAAUGUGUAUUGUCCUUGCACGACAAAAGAGAAAUUAAGUCACAAUGACCAUGAAAACUAUUGAGGAGAAUUUAUAAGAUAGAUAUUUAUAUAAAUGAUAACAUUAUUAUUUCAUCAAUGAUAUAACACAAGUUUUAGGGCUAACGACAUUGAUGUUUUCUGUUUCUACAAAACCAGUUCCCUUGUAAUCCACGAUUCUCAUUCAUUCCCUCCGAUGAUUGGAACAAUGUUGUACAAAUUUCGUAGCUCUGGUUUUAAAAUUUUAGAUAAUUCUUGUUAUAAACAUUACUCUUAAAUAAGUAUUCUUAGUUACUAAGGCAUAGGAAAGUUUCGAUUUCAUUUGAUUGAAAAGAUUGUCUCCAAUUAAUCGAAUGAAUAAGAAUCCUUUCAAAUGAACAUAGCUGCUUUCAUUCUAAUUUCAGAAAAUCCAAAUCCAUGAAAACAUGCAGCACUCUACUAUCUUUAUUUACAUUACUUUCUAUCUCCAUUUAAUUGUUAAAGAAACUCGAUGGUACAAGCAAACUGAUAUAACUUAAAAACAAUAUGAUUUAUAAGGCUGAGUCUUGAACUUGAACAACACAAUCAACUAAAAGCUAAAAAACACCAAUACAUUCUAUCUUUUUUCUUUUUUAAAAAAACCUCGACGGUACGAGGGAAAAUUUAUUGAAUAAAAAAGAAGUUAUAUCUAGUCAGGGGAUAUAAACUUUACCCCUCAAAAUAAAAAAAGAAAAAAAAAAAGAAACCGAAAGUAAAAGAAAAUAUGAGGGACAUACACUUACAUAACCUGAUGCAAACUUAUAAAUAAACAUAUAGAAAGUGAAGGAAAGAAACACAACAGAGAAAACAAACGACAACAAGAAAUGCGCAACGGUAACAAACUGAUCAUUCCAACGACUUAAGAAACAAGUCGGGCCUCCUUGUGAUCACAACAUCUGCAAGAACUACUCCCACUACCAACCCACUUCCACAUCCGGCCGAAACAAUUUUCCAAUCAAAUUCAAAUAUGCCUUCUGAGCUAGAAUCACCUUCGUCGACGGUUGAAGGUGGAAGUUGAGGGGCCUUAGGAUUUCCACAUUUCUUUGGCAAUGGAUCUCCACACAACCCUGGGUUUCCCUCGUAUGAAGUGAAUUUCAAGGAAGUAAGUUGGGUUCCAAGGGAUGAUGUGAUAGAACCAGUGAGAAUGUUGUGGUAUAGAAUCAGUUUCACCCAAGGAAGGAAAAGUGGAGGUUGGUCUGAAAUGAAGUUUUGAGAAAUGGCCAACAAUACCAAAGUUUCUAUGGUUGUGUUCCACAUCCAUUUUGGUACUUGGCCUCGGAUUUUGUUUCUAGAAAGGUCCAAACGCUCCAAACUUUUCUAAUAUUGUAAGAAAGAUGGAAACUCUGUUAGGUUGCAAAAACUCAAUCCAAGAAUGGUGAACUGUGGAACUGUUGAAUUCACAAUUUAAUUGGAGUUGGUAAAGAAAUUGUAGAUUUUGAAACAUUUGAAACUCUACUACACCACACUCAGACUAUUCGAAUGUAGAUAAAGGAUCUGAAGGUUUGUGAGAUUUGAAAAAGAUGUGAGGUUUGCCAAGGAAUCAGGAAUCGGACCUCCAAAUCUGUUGAGUGAAAUGUCUAGAUCAGUGAGCUUCCUAAGAUUCCCAAGUGAAGAUGGAACCAACCCUUCCGAAAAAUUGCAUUGAGCCACAUCCAACUCUUGCAGUGAAUCAAGGUUUCUAAACGAAGAGGGUAUGUUCCCGAAAAACCUAGUAAAGGAAACUUUCAGAAGCAUGAGAGGACUACUUCGAUUAAAUUCAGGAAAAUAUCCAGUCAGAUCUUGGUUGUAUCUCACACUAAGAAUUUCUAGGUUUGGUAGUUGGAAAAUUCUCACAGGAAAUUCACCAAACAGGUGACAUCCCACGAUGGCUAGGGCAUUCAAAGAUGAUAAGUUAGCCAUUGAAUAAGGAAUUGCCGAAGAUAUGUUUACCAAACUGAGGGAAAGUACUUCGAGACUAGUUAAGUUUUGAACUAGGCUUCCAAACUGAGGUAGUAGGAAUUUGAGAGUAAUUGAAGUUAUUGUCAGAGAGGUUUAACCUUUGACAUCACUUUCAUCUCCAUUUUGUUUGUUAAAAGAUACGAACAAACGUUGACAUAACUUAAAACAAUACGAUGUAUAGGGCAUGGUCUUGACCUUGAACAACCAAUCAACUAGAAGCUAAAAAGCAGAAAUACAUUCUUUCUUUCUUUUUAAAAAAACCUCGACGGUACGAGGGAAAAUUUUAUUGAAUAAAAAAAAAGUUACACCUAAUCAGGAGGACAUAAACUUUACCCCUCAAAAUAAAGAGACAAUGAAGAAAAGAAAGCGAAAAUACAAGAAAGUAGGGGACAUACACUUACAUAACGGGAAACAAACUUAUAACUAAACGUAUAGGAAGAGAAGGAAAAAAACCACAACAAAGAAAAUAAACGACAACAACAAAUGCAUAACAUUGUAACGUACCCAAUUUCUAAGCCCCCCACUAGUACUCUAAAUUUUCCUUAUCAUUUGUCUGAUCAUUCCAACAAUCUUAAGAAACAAAUCGGGCCUCCUUGUAAUCACAACAUCUGCAAGAAUUACUCCCACUACAAACCCACUUCCACAUCCGGCCGAAACAAUUUUCCAAUCAAAUUCAAAUAUUCCUGCUGAGCUAGAAUCACCUUCGUCUACAAUUGAAGGUGGAAGUUGAGGGGCCUUAGGAUUUCCACAUUUCUUUGGCAAUGGAUCUCCACACAACCCUAGGUUUCCCUCGUAUGAAGUGAUAUUCAAUGAAGUAAGUUGGGUUCCUUGUGGUAUAAGACCUGUGAGAUUGUUGUGAGACACAUUGAAAUUGGCAAGAAAAGUAAGUCGACUCAGUUGUUGGGGGAUCUGUCCUGAGAGCAUGUUUUGUGAAAGGUCCAACGAUUCAAGCUUCGUCAAGUUUCCGAAGGAUGAUGGAAUAGAACCAGUGAGAAUGUUGUGGGAUAGAUUCAGCGAACGAAGCUCCUUAAGGUUCCCAAUGAAUUCUGGAAUUUUCCCUUCAAAUUUGUUGCUUGAGAUAUCAAAGGAUGCAAAUUCUUCUCGGAUCUUUGGGUAGUAUUGCUCCAAACCUUUUGUUGCUAUUGUGAGUUGGUAAUCAACAUUGCUCCAAACCGGGAAUCCAUCGACAUCAUAAACUACACGUGUGUACAUAUAUGUUGACUUGUUUACAGUAAUAUCUAGAAACACAGAUGGAACCGCUCCAGUAAAAUCAUUGUAAGCCAAAUCAAGAAUGCGUAACUUGGGGAAAUCGACAUUCUUUCUAGAUUUUCCAAUCACACCGUAGAAUCCAUUAUGGCGCAUUGCCAAAAGUUUUAACUCUAGAAGAGUCCCCAACCAAAUGGGAAAAACAUCAUUGAAACGAUUGUUUGACAAAACAAGAUACUCAAGCAUCACACAAUUGGCCAAUGACCUCGGCAACUGCCCCUGCAACUUGUUAUGACUCACAUCAAUCAUUCUCAAACUGCUUCCUUUGUUGUAUGUCUGAGGAAUAAUUCCGUGAAAAGCGUUGUUUCCGAGAAGUAGAAGUGUCAGAUGAUCACUAAAGUUUCCAAGACACUGAGGAAGCAUGCCACUCAAGUUAUUUUUCGACAAGUCAAGGGACAGAAGAUUUUUCAUAUUGCAAAGCAACGGUGAGAUUUCUCCAGUAAAGUUGUUGUCUGCAGCUGCAUAUUCUCGCAUGGUUGGUGGAGGUAUCGGUAGUGAUCCAUGAAACAUGUUGGACGAAAACCUUAGACAUAACAGUUUCACCCAAGGAAGGACAAGUGGAGGUUGGUCUGAAAUGAAGUUAUUGGAAAUGUCUAACAAUAGCAAAGUUUCUAAGCUUGUAUUCCACAUCCAUUUUGGUACUUGGCCUCGGAUUUUGUUUCCAGCAAUUUCCAAACGCGUCAACCCAUUCUGAUAUUGUAAGAAGGAUGGAAACUCUCCUAAGUUGCAAUUACUCAAUCCAAGAACAGUGAACUGUUUAACUGUUGAAUUCAAAAUUCUGGAUUGAGUGACAAGUUCUAAACCGUUCCCGCUUAAUUCGAGUUGGUAAAGAGAUUGUAGAUUUUGAAACAUUUGAAACUCUACUGCACCACUCAGAGUAUUCGAAUGUAGAUACAGGAUCUGAAGGUUUGUGAGAUUUGAAAAUGACGCAGGAACUGAACCAUUUAAUCUAUUAAAAGCAAAAUCUAGGUACUCUAGUUUGCUAAAGUUGCCUAGCCAAGAUGGGAUUGGACCGGUUAAUCGACUUGUACUAAUCCUAAAAGUAGCCAGUUGGGUAAGGUUUGCCAAGGAAUCAGGAAUUAGACCUCCAAAUUUAUUGGCUGAAAUGUCUAGAUAAGUGAGCUGCCUAAGAUUCCCAAGAAAAGAUGGAACCAACCCUUCCGAAAAAUUGCAUUGAGCCACAUCGAAGUUUUGCAGUGAAUGAAGGUUUUGAAUUGAAGAGGGUAUUGUUCCAAAAAAGCCAGUAAAGCCGACUUUCAGUAAGAUGAGAGGACUGCUUUGAUUAAAUUCAGGAAAAUAUCCAGUCAGAUCUUGGUUGUAUCUCACACUAAGAGAUUCUAGGUUUGGCAGUUGGAAAAUUCUCACUGGAAAUUCACCAAACAGGUGAUAGUCCCUGAGGUAGAGGGUUGUCAAAGAUGAUAAAUUAGCCAUGGAAUGAGGAAUUGCCGAAGAUACAUUUACAAAACUGAGAGAAAGUACUUCGAGACUGGUUAAGUUUUGAACUAGGCUUCCAAGAUCUGAUGCUUCAAGUUUCAACAAGGGAUAAUUCUCCUCUUCUGACGACUGAUGAUCCUUAUCUUCUGACAAUCUAUCGAGAUUGAGAGCUAGAUUAAGGUAUGUCAACUUGGAUAACAGUGAAAGUUCAGAAGGGACUUGACCAGAAAAGACAGAGGUAGAGAGGUCAAGAUGAGUAAGGCUUGGAAAAUUCCUAAUGCUAGUAGGAAUUUGAGAGUAAUUGAAGUUAUUGUCAGUGAGGUUUAACCUUUGAAGAUGAACAAGGCGGAAGAGGCUGCUGUUGCUGUUGAUAGUGUUGGGACUUAAAAAGGCUUCACUACUUUGGAGAUGUUUAUCUCACAAAGAAGAAUGAAAUGCAGCGGAAUUGAUAGGCAAGAGAAAGAACACUCAAAGUGUUAUACAAAUUUUUUUUAUUCUCACACAAACUUAGUACAAGAGGAAACACUCAAACACUCUCACACUUCUUGCUCUCUUACUUGCUCUCACUUCUUCUUAGUUCUUGCUUCACAACUCACACACAUACACCUAUUUAUAGGCAUGUUUGCCGACCUAUGCCAUCACUAGAGUUUUCUAGUGUAUGAACAUGCACAUACUACACCAACCUAGGCAUUUGCUAGAUUAUUCUAGCUUGUUAUGCAUGCCACCGACAUGGGCAUUACAUAAUAACCUAUACAUUUAUGAUGGUUCUAGCCUUUUCUACAUACAAACCAUUUUUCUAGAUUUUCUUAAACUUUUCCAACUUUCUACCUUCUUUGCUAGAGUUUUCUAGCAUUUUCUCAUUGGUUUUGGGUUGGAUCACUUGUCUUGGGCCUAAGACAAGAUUACUAUUCAACAUCCCCCCUUAAUCUUGUCUUGUGACGCCGAUUGAGUUUCUCAGUCUGACAAAGUCUUCUUGCCUAAGUGGUUUGGUAAAUAUGUCGGCGACUUGGUCUUGUGACUUCACGUAUUCCACUUGCACAUCCUUUCUUGCAAUGCACUCUCUUAUGUAGUGAUAACGAGUAUCUAUGUGCUUGCUUCUGUCAUGGAAUACUGGAUUCUUUGUUAGGGCUAUUGCAGACUUGUUGUCGACAUAGAUCUCUGUUGGUUCUUCUUGUGGCAUGCUUAAUUCUUUUAGCAAGUUUCUCAGCCAAAUUGCAUGGCAGACACAUGAAGUAGCAGCUACGUAUUCAGCUUCGCAGGUAGAGAGAGUGACAAUCGGUUGCUUCUUCGACAUCCAUGUGAAUGCAGUGUCUCCCAUGAAGAACACAAAUCCAGUAGUGCUUUUUCUAUCAUCGGAAUCUCCUGCCCAAUCAUUGUCGCUAUAUCCAGCAAGUUUGUAGUUAUCAGAACUUGAAUAGAAUAAGCCAAAGUUAACAGUACCUUUAAGGUAUCGAAGAAUUCUUUUGGCUGUCUUCAGAUGUGUAGUUGUGGGAUUCUCCAUGUAGCGACUGACUAAUCCGACGGCAUAGAGAAUAUCUGGUCUUGUGCAAGUCAAGUAACGCAAGCUUCCAACUAAACUCUUGAAAAAUGUUGGAUCUACACUUUCUCCUUCGUCAUGCUUGGUUAGUUUGACUCCGCACUCCACUGGCGUGUUUAUGGGCUUGCAGUCGUCCAUUUUGAACUUUUUCAGUAUCUCUUUUGUGUAGCUUUCUUGGGAGAUGAAAAUACCUUCUUCGUUCUGCUUGACUUCAAUGCCUAGGUAGUAUGCCAUCAACCCGAUGUCCGUCAUCUCGAAUUCUUUGGUCAUCACUCUCUUGAACUCUUCAAACAUGCUUGGAUUACUUCCGGUGAAGAUUAGAUCAUCCACAUAUAAGCACACAAUCAAAAUAUCUCCAUCUUUGACUUUGACGUAGAGAGCAUGUUCAUGAGGGCACUUGGUGAAGUUGUUCUCAUGGAAGUACUUGUCAAUGCGACUAUUCCAUGCUCGUGGCGCUUGUUUUAACCCAUAGAGGGCUUUCUUCAACUUCAAAACUUUAUCUUCAUGCCCUUUGAUUUCAUAGCCUGAUGGUUGCUGAAUGUAGACUUCUUCUUCAAGGACUCCAUUUAGGAAAGCGGACUUCACAUCCAUUUGUUGAAUCUUCCAUCUGUUUUGAGCUGCCAACGAAAUUAGUAAUCGUAUAGUUUCCAACCGAGCAACAGGUGCAAAUACCUCAUCAUAGUCGAUUCCGGCUCUUUGACUAUAGCCCUUCGCCACUAAUCUCGCCUUGUAUCUUUCGACCUCUCCAUUGGCAUUUUUCUUUGUCUUGUACACCCACUUGACUCCGAUGGCUUUGUGUCCUUUCGGAAGAAUAGCGAGUUCCCAUGUAUCAUUCUUCUGGAUUGCUUCAAUUUCUUCAUCCAUUGCUUUCCUCCACUUAGUAUCUUGCACUGCUUCUUGGAAGUCAACUGGUUCACAAUCAGCAAAGAGACAGAAAAGUGUAGGAUUAUCGAGUCUUUCAGCUACCUCAUAAAGAUCUCGUAGACUUCUUGUGCGUGGUACUUCUCUUUCAUUUAGACUCCCACUUGGUGAUGCUGAUGCUGGUGAAUUUCCAUGAUUGGUUGAUGUUGGUGAAGCAGGUGGAGUAGUGGAUUCUUGUUGAACUUCUCUUGCUUGCUCCAUCGUCCCUUGUUCAUUCUUUUCUUCAAAUUGAGGAAAGAAGCUGAGAUCACUUGCAUGAGAGCUAAAAUCCCAUUCUCCUUCUUCGUCGAACGUCACGUCUCGACUGAUCAUCGUCUUCCCAUUGUUUGGAUUAUACAACUUGUAGCCUUUUGAAUUUGAGUCAUAGCCGAUGAAGAUGAACUUCUCACUUUUGUCGUCGAGUUUGGUUCUCCUCUCGUCUGGUACAUGUACAUGGGCUAUGCUUCCAAAAACUCUUAGAUGGGAGAUACCUGGCUUUCUUCCACUCCAUGCUUCUUGUGGAGUCUUUCCCCACACACUUCUUGUUGGAGACCGAUUGGAUAGGUAGACAGCACAUGCUACAGCUUCUGCCCAUAACUCUUUAGGUAAUCUCUUACUUUUGAGCAUACUUCGAGCCAUGUCGAGGAUAGUUCGAUUUUUUCUUUCCGCCACACCAUUUUGUUGAGGGGAUCUUGGAACUGUCAAAGGUCGACGAAUUCCAUUUUCUUCACAAAACUCUUGAAAUUCCUUCGAAGUGAAUUCUCCUCCUCGAUCAGAUCUCAUGGCUUUGAUCUUGCAACCACUUUCUUUUUCUACAGCGACUUUGAACUUCUUGAAUGCUCCAAAGACUUCUGAUUCUGCUUCAAGAAAUACACCCAGGUUUUCCUUGAAAAAUCAUCAAUGAAGAGAAGGAAAUAAUUAUUUUUACCCAAAGAGCUUGGUUUUAUUGGGCCGCACACAUCGGUGUGAAUGAGCUCAAGUGGCUUCUGGGUUCUUGUGGUCGACUCCUUUGGAAAGCUUUUCCUGAACUGUUUCCCAAGUAAACAUCCUUCACAAACUUGAUUAGGGUGGCUGAUGCACGGUAAGCCUCUCACCAUCUCCUUCUUAGAUAAUAACUCCAAUCCCCCAAAGUUAAGAUGCCCAAAACGAAGAUGCCAAAGCCAAGAUAUGUCUUUGUAACAAAUCUUGAGACACUUUGUAACAUCGUUUUGAAUGUCCAUGGGAAACAUCCUAUUCUUUGACAUUUUCGCCUUGGCAAUUAAUCUUCCUUUGUCAUCUCUAAGAAAAAGGAUAUAAUUUUUCGUAUGAAAAUCAUAACCUUUUUCUAAGAGUUGACCCAAACUCAAAAUGUUGCUUUUCAUAUUGGGCACGUAGUAGACAUUUGAAAUUAAUUGGUGACCGCCAUUUUUCAAGGGAAUAAGGAUGUUACCUUUUCCUUUUACAGGUAUUUUGGAUUCGUCUCCAAAAGAAACGUUGCCACUCACUGAUUCAUUGAGCUCUACGAACACGCUUCUUCUUCCACACAUGUGGUUGCUGGCGCCGGUGUCAAGAUACCAUGUAUAGUCUUGGUCUUUAUCAUUGUUCUUGCAUGCUAGUAGCACAAUGCCAUUCUCUUCUUUAUCUUCUUUCACAUAAUUGACCUUUUCAUCAGGUCUGUUGCUUGGAGCUCUACAUUCCCAAGCAUAAUGCCCGAACUUUUGACAAUUGUAGCAUUGAACUUGAGAUUUUUCAUACCUCAAAUUUGAGCGCCCUCUUCCACGACCUUUUGUUGAGCUUUCUCCUCUAUCGUAGUUGCUUUGGUUGUUGAAGUUCCAACCACGUCCACGUCCAUAUCCACGCCCACGUCCGCGACCUUGGCCACGACUUCUUUCGUAUUGGCUUCUCUCGUUGUCGAAGCUUCCUUCUUUCUUCUUUGGCUGAACAUGUGUCUUGAGGAGCUGCUCAUCAUUCCCUUGCCUCUUCUUAUGUUUCUCUUCAUAUGCUUGUAGCGAACCCAUUAAUUGCUCUAUACUAAUUUCUUCCAAGUUCUUUGUUUCUUCAAUCGUCACGACAAUGUGCUCGAACUUGGGGUCCAACGAGCGUAGUAUCUUCUCCAUAAUUCUAACAUCUUCUAACUUUUCUCCGUUUCUUUUUAAUUGAUUGGAAACGGCUAAGACUUUUGAAAAAUAAUCAGAGAUUGAUUCAGACCCUUUCAUUUGUAGAGAUUCGAACUCACCUCUUAGUACUUGAAGACGAACCUUUUUCACUUGUUCGGCUCCUUUGUAAGAGGUUUGAAGCUUCUCCCAUGCUUGCUUGGCAGAGGUUGCACUCGAGACUUUCUCAAAGCCAUUGUCAUCUAAUGCUUGGUAGAUGAGGUAGAGAGCCUUCUUGUCUCUCUUUCUUGAAUCUUUCAAACUCUCCUUCUGGGGUUGGGACAGAGUAGCUUCAUCUUCUGGCUCAGUGUAGCCUUUCUCCACGACUUCCCAUACAUCAUGUGCUCCCAAAAGGGCCUUCAUUUUGAUACUCCAAUUAUCGAAGUUGUUGUUGUCGAGCACUGGAACUUGGAAGGCUGCCAUAGCGUUGCUAGCCAUAGCUCUGAUACCACUUUGUUGGGACUUAAAAAGGCUUCACUACUUUCACAAAGAAGAAUGAAAUGCAGCGGAAUUGAUAGGCAAGAGAAAGAACACUCAAAGUGUUAUACAAAUUUUUUUUAUUCUCACACAAACUUAGUACAAGAGGAAACACUCAAACACUCUCACACUUCUUGCUCUCUUACUUGCUCUCACUUCUUCUUAGUUCUUGCUUCACAACUCACACACAUACACCUAUUUAUAGGCAUGUUUGCCGACCUAUGCCAUCACUAGAGUUUUCUAGUGUAUGAACAUGCACAUACUACACCAACCUAGGCAUUUGCUAGAUUAUUCUAGCUUGUUAUGCAUGCCACCGACAUGGGCAUUACAUAAUAACCUAUACAUUUAUGAUGGUUCUAGCCUUUUCUACAUACAAACCAUUUUUCUAGAUUUUCUUAAACUUUUCCAACUUUCUACCUUCUUUGCUAGAGUUUUCUAGCAUUUUCUCAUUGGUUUUGGGUUGGAUCACUUGUCUUGGGCCUAAGACAAGAUUACUAUUCAACAGAUAGAGCCGUGGAGACAGCUGCUACCAAGAUCUAGGCCAAUCACAUGACCCGUCUUCUCAUCACACUUGACACCUUCCCAUGAGCAGCAGGUGCUAUUUCCUCCUUCAGCUGGUUUCCAUGAUGAAACCUUUGGAUAAGCAUCGGGAGAUCUAGAAGCAGAUUUGUCAAUAGUAAAGCUGUCUCUGAAUUGCAGCAGGGCGGACUUCUCCUCAUCAGGGCAAGAUGGAUACUGCUUCUGCGAAGAGUAGGAAGAGUUAGCAAUAACCACAUGAUGAAACAGCAACAAAACUAGUACUGGUUUUGAAAUGCGAAUGGUGGAGAUAUCAAGAAACCCCAUGACAACAAUAUUUUGAUUUUUUUUUUUUUUUUUUUUUUUGCACUCUUAGCUAUGUAUGGAGUGGAAAGUGAUACAACUAUUUAUAGACUGGCAUCAGCAUAAAAUUCUUCCGCAAAUUAAUCUCUAAAAAGUGAUGGAGAUGGGUGUAAUGAGGACAAGUGCAUCGUAUCUUCUACAUGUAUAAAAGAUGCUCUUGACUAAUUUAUUCGUGAG